rnacentral:lncRNA from 1 species
AAUUGACUGCAGAGUACGGCGAGGGUCGCGCUGUCUCAACUCUUGGAGAUGUUUACAGCCUCGGCAUACUGUUGCUUGAGAUGUUCACCGGGAUGAGCCCUACUGACGACAUGUUCAAAGGCUCCUUGGACCUUCAUAAGUUCGCCGAGGCCGCUCUCCCCGACAGAGCCUUGGAGGUAGCCGACCCGGCAAUCUGGUUUCAUGAAGAAGCAAAGGGGGAAAACCCUGCCACGGUGAGAAGCAGAAGCGAGAGGUGCUUGGCUUCAGUGAUCGGGCUUGGCGUGUCCUGCUCAAAGCAGCUGCCAAGGGAGCGGACGGCGAUGCGGGAUGCUGCCGCUGAGAUGCGUGCGAUCAGAGAUGCCUUCCUGGUUCAAUGUGCAACAGAGACUUGGCCUGCAGUCGGCACCACCGGCCUUGGAAGCGCAGACAGUUGAAUGGUGGACGGAGCUACGGUCUCUUGACGCACCAAGGAGCACUGGACUAGCAACUCUGCAACUAAACAGAGUGGAGAAAGAGCCCCUUAAUGAACAGAAAAACAGCCGGUGCAAGGCUUUAUACAAAGAAUGUGACAGCCACUGCGUGUAUCCGAGAGCCUUAUCUAAUCUACCAAGGAUUGUCCAUGUACUCCCUCCGUCCCAAAAUAAACACACAUGUCACUUGUCGAGGAGUCAAACUUUCUAAGUUUGACUAAAAUAAUGUACUACUAUUUAUAAUGUAUAAUAAGUAUCAUUAGAUUGAGUAUUGAGUAUACUUUUCUAAUACAUUUAUUUGAAGAUAUAAAUGUUGAUAUUAUUUUCUAUAUUCUUAAUCAAACUUAAAAACGUUUGACUCUCGAGAAGUGAGAUGUGCGUUUAUUUUAGGAUGGAGGGAGUACCCGUCACACGGAUUAGUUAUGAUAUAAGUAGGGACUAGCAAGCACCAAAACCCCAUUCACUGCCCAUGGAUCGCUCAAAUAAAAGAAACCAUUGCAUAUGGUGGUGAUGCGCUGGCGAGCCUUUCUCCAAACUUUCUGCUCUCGCGGACCUUGAACUCGCAUGGAACAAUUUUAGUGGAAGCGUGCCUCCACCUUUAUGGAGAUUGCGAAGCCUCAUUUACCUGUCCGUGGCAAUAAGCUAGGAUUGAAUGACAAGGACGGAUUGGAAUUCAUCACCAUGCUGGCAAACUGCAGUCAGCUUCAGCAACUGGCUUUUGACAAUAAUUCAUUCAUCGGGGAACUUCCUAGCUCAAUUGCAAAUCUAUGGACAACACUCCAAUUACUCUAUAUAGGAAACAAUUGGAUUUCGGGAUUUAUUCCAUCCAGCAUAGGUAAUUUGGUUGGUCUAGAACUGCUUACGUUGGCAAAUACUUUCAUAUCCGGAGUGAUUCCAGAUAGCAUUGGUCGCCUAGAAGGCAUGUCCGUGUUAGGCAUUUACUACACUAGCUUGUCAGGCAUCAUACCUUCAUCACAAGGAAACCUUACACAGUUGAAAGCUCUCUAUGCGUACGAUAGAAACUUGGAGGGUCCAAUUCCAGCAAGCUUGGAGAACUUAAAGAAUCUUUUUGUCCUUGAUCUCUCAACGAAAGUGUGUAACCUGCUAAGAUUUCAUGUCGAAGUAGAGCAUAAACCUCUCUCAAAAGACUGCGAAGCUACCAUAGAGUAGAUCAGUCUAAGGGUCGGACUAUACCCUAUCAACGCCUCCCCUCUUGCCCUUUCGAUAAGAUUACCCCAAAGGUCCAAACUAGAGUCUUUAAUUAAUUAACCAAGACCAAAGCCAUAUAGUUCUUGUGGUUGUACUAUUUUCCUGGGUGGUCGCUCCAUGUUCCAAUUAAGCAUGGCGGUCUUGUAUUAAUAAAAGGUAUAUCAUAAAUAAAACAAGUUUAAUCAUUGAGUUCAUUAAAACCAUCAUAACCCAAGGUAUUGCAACUAAGCAUAUCUACCCAAUAAAAAGGUAAAACCCAGGUUGACAAGGAAUGAUCAUAAAAACUAGGUCAAUAUUAAAUGCAGAGCAGUGUAGAAGUGAUUAAAUAUAGUUAUUGGUACAAAAACACAAACAAGGACACACUUGCCUUUCUCCAAAGAAUAGCUGCUCAGAUUAUCUUCAGCUCUUGUUCCUCAAAGCUCUCGAACAACGUUCCUUCUACUCGCAUCAAUCAUCGGCACAAGUAUACAAAGCAAACAACAAUCACAACUAAGAACAAUACAUCAAUCAUAGGAAAGCUUUAAAAGAGCGUACUAAAGGAUAAGGCUCGAAUCUAAGGUCACACGAAUGCAAGAAACGCUAGGAACGAAACUAUGGUUGAAAAGACAAAGCUAUCGAGAGAUUUGAAUUAUAAAAGAAAGAAAAGCCUAUGUGCUUCAUAUAUUUUAAUAAUGAAAAUAAUGUAAAGAUAUUUUAGAGAGACAUCCUUAGCAAGUUAUAUUUAUAUAUGAAAAGACGAUGUAGAAUAGUCAAAUUUUCUUUAUAAACAUUCAAGUACAAUUUAUGCAAAUUAAAUAUUUAAUUUGAAAAUAAAGUAUAUGUAAACAUCUAAGCGCAUAGCUUUAUGGUUAUGGUUCGGGUUGAACUAACCAAAUAUAAUUCAAAAACACAAUUAUUUUUAUAUUAGUCAAAUUAACAUAUAAUUAUGAAAACUCGAGAUAUAACUUAUGUAGCUUUUAUUUAGAAAACAAAUUGAAUAAAUAUUAAUCAAUUUAAGUUUAAUUAUGAACCACCGUGGUGCAUCUCUAAUUCGCUUUUAAUUGAAAGAGUUGUUUAAUUAAGCAUUAACUAAAUUAACAUUUAUUAUGAAAAGCGGUUAUAACACUAAGUAGCUUUUAAUUAAAGAAGACAUGUUUAACAUGCAUUAAUUAUAUUAAUAUUAAAUUAAUUUUAAAAACAUGCAUGAUGGAAGGAUCACUACUAACAUGUAAUUUGUGUUAUCACGAACCUAACUCAACAAGAACGGAUAUAAACGAAGCUGUAAUGAGGAGCCUAUGGGUUAAACAAGGUCGUAGGGCCUAAUCACGAUUAACGGAAGGUUAUUGGGGUUAGCAAGGAAGAUUUGCAAGACACUAUAAUAGAGCUCGCCAUUAGGUCAAAGCAUAGGGUUAGAUCUAUUAAAGUGCUCAGGUUGGACUUGGUUGCACGGAUCCAAUCUAAUGAGGGACAUGGAUGAAAAAAACAAGACACAAGGAAAAACUAACUAUUUACAAAGCUUUCCGGGGCCUAUGCGCAAAAGCACCACAACUCAGCAUCCAUGGCGGACGGGCUCCUGGAUGGCAAAAUCCUCGUGUCGGAUUUAUAAGCCCACAGUCCACCAAGGGGUUACCCAAGUCGUUGAUUGUGGCGGAACCGCCCAAAUUAACCUGACUAAAAUGCAUUGAAGUCGCCUGACACGCGAUUAUGCACUUUAAGCAAGUCAACUUGGUCGACCGUCGGAUUUCCUCCGAUAAACCACAUAAACAGGAUCGAGAAGCAUCGCUCACGCGAAGGUGAGUAGCACAGAGGUUACAACAAUCCAUCAUGACAACAUAGUUCAACAAUUUAUUACAUCAGAGUUUUUGAAAUUCAAACCGAAAUUUGCAUGGUUCGAAGUCAAAGGAAAACAGCGGAAACUAAACGUCGAUACAUGACAUCACGACGGAGCCGAUCAUGACAUCAAAAAUUUCUUCCUUCGCCAUCCGAGGAAGGAUCCCACUCGACGGUCCAGCCUGGAGGAAGCUGGGUCGGCCAAGUGGUACCAACACCCAAACUAUUGACAUUACCUGAAAAAGAUUAGCCACAACAAGGCUGAGCAACUAGUACUCAGCAAGACUGACCCGUCGGAAAGACACGACCGAGACCUAGACAUGCAAGGCUUUCUGGCUCUGGGGUUUUCUUUGCCAAAAGCGUCUAAAGUCAGUCCUUAUUUUCAACAUUUUAGCUCAUGUUCUAUGUUCUUUAUCCAUUCUAGAUUAGCAACUUAUACUAAACAAACAUGGUUUCCAAGCAAUUACUUAACAAGCAUCAAGAUUAAAAUCAUCAUCAUCAUGUUCCAUCUUUACUCAGUGCAGAAUAGCGAUCAAGUAGUCCCAAUCUGUGAGAGGCAGACGAAUCGAUUCGAAUUUAUUAACCAUGCAUGGCAAACCUAAUCUCACGACAUCCGCGCACCACGAAGGGUCGCUUCAUUUGUCAGCCGUCCCCAUCGAUCCCUUAGGCACGUGUCAGGGCCAACUUCCUUUGGCAUGCAAUGCUCCACAGUCCUGGCCUAUUGCUGCACUGUGACCGCACUUGCACCCACAUGAUGCACCAUGGGAACGACGUUCCAAGGACAGCCGGAGGGUAUGCCACGCCCCAGUUCAAUCAGGUACUAGGCUUCCCCAUCCCAUACUAGGUAUGAGAUUAGUACUUUCAAACACUUGAUCACGAACGCCGACACGUUUCGACCAUAGUUCAUUUUCAUUUAGACAGACGGGGCAAUCCACCAAGUAUCGAACACAAGCCUGACCCCGUCCGUCGUCCUUAUAGUUGCGACAUAUCUGAAAUAUUCAACUCCUAUAACUCGCGAGUGACAGGAGAUCACUCGACUUUUACCGAAACCUAUUAAGCAAUGCAACUACUCGGCAAGGUCUUCUUCCGGCGCCGGGUGAAGCUCGUACGUUCCGUCGGCGAGAUUCAACUCUACACGAAAAUGCAAUGCUGGGGUUAGACAUUUUAGAUGGUUAUUUCAACACACUCAUGUUUUAACACGGACACUUUGCUACAGGAAAGGUGGGGGAGUUCAACUUCUGUUGGUGGAGAACAGGAUGAGAGGGUCGGAUUGGGGGAAACUUAGGGUCUGACCCUCAGGUUUAAGGAAAAACCGUACCGAGGUCGUCAGACUCAACACAGAGGAAUCCCCAAAAUUAUUUCAUCGUACCCUCGGGUCAAAGAAAAAGUUACAACCGAGCCCUCGGGCGAGGCGGAGAAAGGGUCGGCGAAACUUGGCAGGGUCGGGCGAGGCGAAAGGAAAAAGGUCGGGCGAGAUGAAAAGAAAAGGGGUCGGGCGAACCGAAACAAAGGGGUCGGGCGAAACGAAAAGGAAGGGGUCGGUCGAGAGGGAACACAAGGGGUCGGUCGAGACGGAACACAAGGGGUUGGUCGCUUACCUCCAGGUCUACCGGUGAAGCCUUGGGGCCGAACAGGAGUAGGCUGGGGUGGGAAGUCGUACACGCUAAGUCUUGGGCAACGGCGAGUCUUCGACGGUGGUCAGGUGGCGGUGGUGCUUCUUGCGGACACCAGCAAGCUCGAGUACCGUGCGGAGGAGCGGGCGGCUGGUCUGUUGGGAGAAACGGCUUGAGGGUGGCGGCGAAGUCGCCGAAGUGUGGGGGUGGUGUAAAAGGGGUGAGCUCCACGGAAGCUCAGCGGCGGCGCGGGGAGAAAGCGGCGGCGCAGGUGCGGGCGGUGGCAAGGGGUGGCAUUGCCGGUGAGGGGGGUUCCCUUUUAUAGGGUCGGGGUGGCGCGGAGGGUCGAGGCGGGGCUUCGGUGGGGAAAGGAUAAGGCCGGGAGCGGCGAGUGCGCGGACAAGGCGGCCAUUGGCCAGCAACGCCAUUGGGCAGAGGAGGUGGAGCUCCGGGUGGUCUUCGGCGGCGAUUGGCCUUGGGCGACGCCCGUCUGGGGCUUCCGGUCUGUCGGGCGGGCGAGGCGGAGAGCUACCGUGGGGGUUGGGCGAACGGGCGGAGGCGCGGGAUGUCGGGGGCGUGUCAGCUUUCUCGGCGGACGGGCGGAACAGGGUUGGCGGAGCAGAGCCGUGGCAGGCGGAAGGCGGCACGCGCGCAGCCGGCGGUUGGCUGGCCCGGCGUUCGCUCCGUCCUGUCGCAGGCGCGGGUUGGGCGCCGUGGCUCUCGUCCUGUCGCUGUCGUGCUGGGGAUAGGGCGCCGGCGAGCUGCCGGUGGCCGGCGGCCACGUGGCGCGCGGUGCGCGAGCGAACAUGCUCGGGCGUGCGGGCGUCGAGGCUCCCUUCGGGCAGCAAGCCCGACCAGCUUUGGAGUGAUCCUUCCUCCGAAUCUUUCAACACAACUUCCGAAACUCCCUUAAACAAACUUGCUCAACUCUGAUUGUUCUUCAAACUUUGUUUAAGGUGCUGGUUUAGAUUGUGAAAGGAUUCAAAGAUAUUUCCGGCCAAGUUAGCCAAAAAUCUGGGAUUCCAGACUUAGGAUUUAAGGCAUCCGGGGUGAGUUGACUGGUUUACCUCACUUUGACCGGGAUUUUGAACAAGUUCGGGUCCGAUUUGGAUCUGGGUCAGAGUAACAAAGUUGGAAUACACUCGAGGUACUACAACUUUCAUUAAGGCUCUGACUUGGGUUUAGAUAGGAAAACGGGAUAUGAAAGCUUGUAAAGAUGGAGGAAAACUCGAAUUCCAGGACUUAAGAGAUUUUCAGGGUCCUUUAGAAAAACCGGCUUUGGUUGCUGUUUUUGACUUCCUUCCACUCCGAAUUGGUCAAAGUGCUUUUAACAAAAGUUGUUGGAAUUAAAAAGUUUUACAACUCUUAUUUGGGCAGAAACUUAAGUUUGUAUAUAAUAUUUCAAGAUUUAAAUCAAACUCCAAAAGGAGCUUCUUAGGUUUAUAAAGGUCAUUUCACUUCUUAAAUUAGGGAUUUAUCACUGGUUUAGAGUUAAAAGUACUUAAUUUAGGUAGAGUUGUUACAGCCUACCCCCCUUAAAGGAAUCUUGCCCCGAGAUUCAAGUGCAGAAGGAACUAGUGUGGUUGGUGCAAUGUACCUCCUUGCUCGAAAAGAAAACCGCGGAAGUUAGCGUUGAGGUACUCUUCCGUCUCCCAGGUCGCUUCAUCUUCCGUAUGGUUACUCUACUGAAUUUUGUACAUCUUGACCAUUUGCCGACGAGUAUGUCUUUCCUUGCGGUCGAGGAUCUUAACAGGAUACUCCUUAUAUGAUAAAUCGGGUUCGAUCUCCAAUUCUUCCGGGGGAAUGAUUUCAGUUGGAAUCCUGAUGCACUUCUUAAGUUGCGAGACAUGGAAAACAUCAGGUAUUGCUACAAUCUUCUCUGGAAGUUUAACUCGGUACGCUAUGGGUCCACACGCCUCUACGAUCUCAUAGGGACCAAUAUAGCGCGGAGCUAACUUUCCCUUUACUCCAAAACGUUGUACACCUUUGGUCGGUGAAACCCGUAGGUAUACAAAAUCCCCAACCUUAAAUUGGAUGGGUCUUCUUCUUUGAUCGGAAUAGCUCUUGUGUCGAGAUUGGGCGGCCUUGAGAUUUUCGCGGAUGACUCUCACUUUUUCUUCGGCCUCUAUGACCAGGUCAGGUCCAUACACCGUUCGCUCUCCGGGUUGCGACCAGCUCAGUGGGGUCCGGCAUCUACGUCCAUACAAGGCCUCGAAAGGUGCCAUUUUCAGGCUAGCUUGGUAACUGUUGUUGUAGGAGAAUUCCGCUAAUGGCAAAUACCCCAGUUCUUGUCAUAAUGAAUAACACAGGCGCGUAACAUAUCUUCCAAAAUCUGAUUAACCCUUUCAGUUUGCCCGUUGGUCUGAGGAUGAUAUGUGGAACUACGGAUCAAUUGAGUGCCAAGUGAAAACUGCAACUGCUCCCAAAAGCGUGCUACAAACUGACUACCUCGAUCAGAGAUGAUCAUUUUAGGUACUCCAUGCAAGGAAACAAUCCGAUCAAGGUACAAUUCUGCAUAUUUCUGUAUGGUGUGGGUGGUGUGUACUGGAAGGAAAUGUGCCGUUUUGGUUAGUCGGUCUACUAUAACCCAUAUGGAGUCAUGCUUGCGGGGGGUAUUGGGUAGUCCGACUAUAAAGUCCAUGCUUAUGUCUUCCCAUUUCCACGAGGGAAUAGGCAGCGGCUGCAAGGGGCCAGCUACCCUCAAGUGGCUUGCCUUGACUCGCUGACAGGUAUCACACUCUGAAACAUAGCGUGCAAUGUCGGGUUUCAUCCCACUCCACCAGAAAUUUUGUCGGAGGUCGUGAUACAUCUUGGUAUUGCCGGGGUGAAUCGAGAACUUGGAUAGGUGUGCUUCGUGCAGAAUUUGUCUCUUAAGCUCGGGAUCAUUUGGAACUACAAGUCGAGCUUCAUAAUGUACCACUCCUUUCCAGCCCUGUCGGAAACGUUUAUAUCCCUCAUCCUUCUGUGCAAGUUUCCCUUUGAUAAUGUUUAUCUCUUUGUCCUCUAGCUGUGCUAGAAUGAUUUGGUCAAGUAGGGUGGGCUCUAGAGAAAUAUGACUUAAGGUGUCGUGUGGAACAAUUUCCAAGUUGAGUCUAGCCAUUUCGUGACACAGGGUCUCGGCAUAAUUACUCGCCGAUAAGCAGUUACAAUGGAUCUUGCGGCUAAGGGCAUCUGCAACUAUGUUGGCUUUUCCUAGGUGAUAAUGCACUUCUAGGUCAUAAUCCUUGAUUAAUUCUAGCCAUCACCGCUGAUGCAUGUUGAGGUCUUCUUGAGUGAAUAUAUACUUAAGGCUCUUGUGAUCUGUAUAGAUGUUGCAUCGGGUUCCCAUGAGUUAAUGCCUCCAUAUUUUCAGAGCAUGAACGACUGCCGCUAACUCAAGAUCAUGAGUAGGGUAAUUCAACUCAUGUGGUCGUAAUGCUCGCGAGGCAUAGGCAAUGACUCGGCUGUCUUGCAUAAGAACACAACCAAGUCCAGUGCCAGAGGCAUCGCAAUACACAUCAAAUGGCCUAGUGGUGUCGAAAACUUCGAAUCUGAUGAACUGAAGUGGGCGGCUUCCAGUCCAUUACUUCUUGCACCUUGCUUGGGUCUACUGCUAUACCGUCUCUGGAUAUGGUGUGUCCCAAGAAUUUAACACUGUCCAGCCAAAAGUCACACUUAGAGAAUUUGGCAUAGAGUUGGUGGUCUCUUAAGCGUUGGAGUAAAGUAUGUAGGUGCUCUGCAUGUUUUUCUUCAUUCUUCGAGUACACCAAGAUGUCGUCAAUGAAUACCACGACGAAUUUGUCGAGUUCGGGCAUAAACACCGAAUUCAUGAGGUACAUGAAAUAAGCCGGUGCAUUAGUAAGCCCAAAUGACAUGACUAAGUACUCGUAGAGUCCAUAUCGUGUAGAAAAGGCAGUCUUUGGAAUGUCGCACGGGCGGAUCUUGAUUUGAUGGUAGCCAGAACGGAGGUCAAUUUUGGAAAACACUCUAGCUCCAGCUAAUUGGUCGAACAGAACAUCAAUGCGGGGUAGUGGGUACUUAUUCUUUAUCGUCACCGCAUUGAAAGGUCGGUAGUCCACACACAUACGCAGACUAUCGUCCUUCUUUUUCACAAACAAGGCAGGGCAACCCCAAGGUGAUGUACUUGGGCGAAUAAAACCCUUUUCCAACAAAACAUGCAACUGAGUUUUCAUUUCUGCUAGUUCGGCUGGUGGCAUCCGGUAUGGUCUCUUUGAAAUUGGGGCGGUACCUGGUUGCAACUCAAUGGCAAACUCGAUGUCUCUCUCAGGCGGCAUACCCGGCAAAUCGUCUGGAAACACAUCCGGGUACUCGCACACUACUGGGAUAUCUUCCAAUCGGGCUUUAGACACGGGAUAGGCACAAGAAGUUUGGCACUCUCGGGGAGGUAAGUGUAUAGUCGAGCUACCAUACUUGGGUGAAUUUAUAUGGAUUGCCCUGGCAGGGAUAUCUAGGGUCACUUGGUGUCGGGUCAUCCAAUCCAUACGCAAGAUAACAUCUAUUCCUUCUAUCCCAAGGGUAAGCAGAUCUUCCUUAAGAAGGGUCCUCCCUAACUGGAUAGGUACUCUGCAGCUUACUUGGUGUGAAGUUACCUUUCCACCCGGGGUAGAGAUUAUGUAGGUACCUUUGGUGUGACAGAAAUCUAACCCACACUUAGCACUGAUUCUAGUCCCAAUGAAACUAUGAGAUGCUCCCGAAUCAAACAGAAUAAGGACGGGUUGAUCACAGAUAGAAAAGGUACUCGUCAUCACUGGUGCGCCCUCUGGAAGUUCAGCAAGGGUGGUGAAGUUCAGCCUGCCUUGUCGGACCUGCACCUUUGGCUUCUUCCCCUUGUUGCCCAGUGUAUGGCUCUGACUGGGUCGUUGAUUCUGGUUGCGGGGGCAGUCCUUGGCGAAGUGUCCUGGGUUCCCGCAAGUGAAACAGCGGUUUCCAGUGACCGGGCGCAGCGGCAUCGGGAGAGCAGGGCGGGGUCCUUGCGGCUGGAAUCCGGGGAAACGAGGUGCUGCCUGCGGUGGAGGUCGAGCAACCCAUCUCCCAGGCUGUGCGGGCGUGCGAGGUGCUUGUGGGGAAACCAUUCUGUACUUCUGGGCAGGCGGGCUGGGUGCCGGCAUUGGGGCCUUCCUUUUCAUGUCGGCCUUGAGGGCCCUCAUGCAAUCUUCCUGGGAAAUGGCCAGGUUCACCAGUUCAUUGUAGGAACCCACUUUGAUGGGAUUCAGCCUUUCCUUGAGCUUCAAACUCAAGCCUCUGCGGAAACGGUCCCUCUUUUUCUCAUCGGAGUCCGCAUGGUAGCCUGCAUAGCGACACAGGUCAUUGAAAGCCUGCGCAUAGUGCAGACAUCGCGGCCUCCCUGGGUGAGAGCCAGGAACUCGUUGAGCUUGCGCUCCAGAAGACCUUCAGGGAUGUGAUGGCCCCUGAACGCCGUCUUGAAUUCCUCCCAACCGACGACGUGGUCGGCCGGCUGCAUGGCAUGGUAGUGAUCCCACCACAGGAGAGCAGAACCACGCAACUACUGCGCGGCGAACCGAACCUUGUUCUCGUCCGGGCAGUAGGCGGUGAGAAGGGAGAACUUGGACUCGAUAGUGCGAAUCCAGGCAUCGGCGUCAAGUGGGUCCUCCGUCUUGUGAAAUAGAGGAGGCUGGGUCCCCAGAAAAUCUUCGUAACGAGCAACAUGGGGCUGUUGAUGGGCCCUUCCUCCCUGAGGCUGCUGCUGCUGCUGCCCCUGAGCGAUGUGCCUCAACAGCUCGGUCUGGGCUGCCAAGAUCGACUCGAGGGUGGUCGGAGGCGGAGGUGGGGGAGGCACCUCGCUGCCACUGGGAACGGAGCCGGAGCGUGUGCGAUGCGCCAUCCUUGGGCGAGCCAAAACCUUAUCCCCGGGGUCUCACUAAUUCCGACCUCUGGUGCCGGGGUCGGGCGAAACGGAGCUUCUCAACACGGGAUCGGACAAAACGGAGCCUUUCAUCCCGGGGUCGGGCGAGGCGGAGACCUGCCGCGAGGGGUCGGGCGCGUCCGACCUCGCGACUCGGGGUCGGUCAACUUUGGACAGGCCCACAGGAGACGGGUGUGUGGUCACAGCACCAAAACCCACACAACUUGGCAUUCACGGCGCGUCGCAAAGGGUCAAAAGUCGAGUCAAGAGUGAAAGAAAAACAGGAACUGCUUUCACCAAGAUCAUUUCAUUGCUGGUCUUAAAAUAUAGGAGGAGUACUCAACUCAAGGCUAACCUAUUACAUCAUUGGCCAAAAAUAUAGGUCGUCGAGGAGUACAAUCAAAAAUAAAAUAGAACCGCUCAACCUAGUUUGUUAUAACUAGAAGUCGUCGAGGUUGCCCACGGAGGCAAAGCUAAGGACCGGAGAGUGAGCAUCACCAACUGGAGGCUGCGGUGAGGCAUUCUCAUAGUCCAUGCUUGAAAAGCCUUCGAUCUCCUCAGGCUCCUCCUCCUGGGCCAUCGGCUCAUCCAGCUGCACCUCUAAGGCGUGGAUGGCAUUAAGCUCAUCGUGAUGCUCCUGCAGGUGCUCAUUGGCGUUCGCCAGCUCCAUGUUCACAUCAUAGAACUGGUCAGCCAAGAUCUCCAUAUCGUGAUCCAUAUCCACAAUCUCUUCCUCCAAACGAGUAAUCUUGUCCUGCAUCUCAGCAAUCUGAACAUCCUUCUGUACCAGCUCGAGCGACUGGUCCACCAUGCCACUCUGCACGGUAGACAAGGCAACCUGGUUGGCCACUGCCAUCCCAAUCACCAUAGCCAUCGCUCGGCUCUGCAGCUCAACCAUCCUGUAGAACACAUUCAGGCAACGAGCUGAAACAAAAAUCGUGCACUGAGGAUCCAUAAGCCCGAGCAAGUCCAUAUGCUCCAUACGAUCCAACCAGUCCGGGUCCCUCGUACCCCGGGCAGGGAACAACCCAAUCGGGUCUAGCAUGAUCUCAAGAGGGUGUGCCCAGCAAAACUGGGUCAAGGUCUGCAAGGCUGCGAACUCCCAGGCGUCGUGGAGCGUGUGUCCCUCAGCCACUACCUCCAACAGCGACAACGGUGGCUGAUCCGGAGGCGGGGGUACCCGCACGUGUAUGCGGCUCCGCGGAAUCCCGUGGUCCUGGUACGCACGGCCCGCAUAAACCGGCGGCGACUGGUACCCGAAAGAGCGCAGGGUGUCCCACAACACAGUUGGAAAACCCUCGUAGUGAAGGCACCGUGAGUAGGUGGUGCCCUCCGUACCGACUGCCACGUGCACGGGCUGCGCCAUCUGUAACCAAGGGUCACGUGAGAAAUGGGGUUAACACUUGGAAAUCAAACAGAUUUCUGGCAGUUAGAGAAAAGCUCAUAACUCAGCAAGUAUUCCUCCAAAAUUUCUCAAAUUUUACCAGCAUGUUCUUUAGAUAGUGGGUAACAAGUUUGGUAUUCAAAGGUAGGGCUAGAACAGACCUAACAAGGUGAUAAUCUCAGAUUCCCAUUAAGUAUACCUGCUGGAACUCUUCAGACCGAGUCAAGAUAAACUGAAUACAUCUUCCAAACCAGAGACUUAACAAAACCGAAACUCUACCAGUAAGUCCUUCACUAAGUUCUAAAAAACUCUGCUUAAAGGACUCCUCGCAGAAAAGGUCCUUAAGGUGGUCGAAAUAGCAGAAACUCCGUUGGUGUGCACUUUGGGCUAACAGCCAACAGGGGGUCACCAAACUGAUCACAACUCUCAACCCAAAUGGUAGUACCUUGAGGCAGUUUUACUUGGGAGUUUUAACACAACUUUCUUAUACAAAGUUUCUGGAGUUAGCAUGGCGGAAAAAGGACAGCUAGACAAUCCUUAACGCGGUGCAUUACUUUUUACGACGUACUCGAGUUUGGUUUUAUUUCCUUAGGUUGUGAUUUUUAUUUCUUAAUGCAUGCACGUCCUAGUCGUCCUCUCAACCAAAAAUAAUUUCCAAAAACCUUUGGACUUACGUGGUCAGUGCCGGUGGCAAGGCAACAAUACGGCUCUCACUAUAAUAGCUAGUCGAGUUACUAGGCCUCGUUUCGAACGCAACGUUUGUUAGUGUACCUGCAGAAAAACACAACACAGCUUGAACCUUCCGUGCCAGCACUCAUGAAAGCGUCCACAAUCAUUACCGUUCACUAUAGAAAUGGCACCCAUGCGUUUAACACUGCAUGGACAGUGCAACAACCGUGGAAAUAGGUUCCUUUGAAUAGAAUCCUAUAACCCUUCGCAUUCUCGUGAUGCAGAAUCAUGCACACGUGUAACAAACGUGGGCGAACAACCGUGACGAUAGGCUCGUUGGAAUCGAACCAUACCAUCCUUCGCAUGUAUUAACAUACGGAACCUGCGCACGUAUAAUAGAUGUGGGCGAAACAACCGUGAUGAUAGGCUCGUUGGAAUCGAAUUCCCAUCACCCUUCGCAUACUCGCGAUGCGGAUUUCGGCACACGUAUGAUAGACAUGGCAACAAGUGCUGGAAGUUAGAAGAUAACCAAUAACUAUUAGCCACCUUAAAAAUAACCCCAAAAUCCCCUAGGGCUCCUCGAACUAAACUCAUCCUUAGCGAACUUACGAAUUUCUCAAUUUUACUUCUUCCAAAUUUUAGUUGGAAAAAGAGUUUUAAGGUUUGUUGUUCUCCGUACUGUGCUUCGAGCUCUGAUACCAGCUGUGGCGGAACUGCCCAAAUUAACCUGACUAAAAUGCAUUGAAGUCGCCUGACAUGCGAUUAUGCACUUUAAGCAAGUCAACUUGGUCGACCGUCGGAUUUCCUCCGAUAAACCACAUAAACAGGAUCGAGAAGCAUCGCUCACGCGAAGGUGAGUAGCACAGAUGACAACAUAGUUCAACAAUUUAUUACAUCAGAGUGUUUGAAAUUCAAACUGAAAUUUGCAUGGUUCGAAGUCAAAGGAAAACAGCGGAAACUAAACGUCGAUACAUGACAUCACGACGGAGCCGAUCAUGACAUCAAAAAAUUUCUUCCUUCGCCAUCCGAGGAAGGAUCCCACUCGACGGUCCAGCCUGGAGGAAGCUGGGUCGGCCAAGUGGUACCAACACCCAAACUAUUGACAUUACCUGAAAAAGAUUAGCCACAACAAGGCUGAGCAACUAGUACUCAGCAAGACUGACCCGUCGGAAAGACAUGACCGAGACCUAGACAUGCAAGGCUUUCUGGCUCUGGGGUUUUCUUUGCCAAAAGCGUCUAAAGUCAGUCCUUAUUUUCAACAUUUUAGCUCAUGUUAUAUGUUCUUUAUCCAUUCUAGAUUAGCAACUUAUACUAAACAAACAUGGUUUCCAAGCAAUUACUUAACAAGCAUCAAGAUUAAAAUCAUCAUCAUGUUCCAUCUUUACUCAGUGCAAAAUAGCGAUCUAGUAGUCCCAAUCUGUGAGAGGCAGAAAAUCGAUUCGAAUUUAUUUACCAUGCAUGGCAAACCUAAUCUCACGACAUCCACGCACCACGAAGGGUCGCUUCAUUUGUCAGCCGUCCCCAUCGAUCCCUUAGGCACGUGUCAGGGCCAACUUCCUUUGGCAUGCAAUGCUCCACAGUCCUGGCCUAUUGCUGCACUGUGACCGCACUUGCACCCACAUGAUGCACCAUGGGAACGACGUUCCAAGGACAGCCGGAGGGUAUGCCACGCCCCAGUUCAAUCAGGUACUAGGCUUCCUCAUCUCAUACUAGGUAUGAGAUUAGUACUUUCAAACACUUGAUCACGAAGGCCGACACGUUUCGACCAUAGUUCAUUUUCAUUUAGACAGACGGGGCAAUCCACCAAGUAUCGAACACAAGCCUGACCCCGUCCGUCGUCCUUAUAGUUGCGACAUAUCUGAAACAUUCAACUCCUAUAACUCGCGAGUGACAGGAGAUCACUCGACUUUUACCGAAACCUAUUAAGCAAUGCAACUACUCGGCCUUAGCAACUAGUAUUCAAAAACAAGGUACUAAGUUUAUGCAUCUAAGGUUCCAUUACAACUCCUCGAAACGUAAAUGCGCAAUCAAGUAAUCAAUAAUAUUGCAUGAACUCAAGAUAGGAAUUUAUGCUCCGGGGCUUGCCUUCAGGAAAAGCUUGCGGGUCCUCGGGGUCUUGCUCCGGUUCGGGCUCUCCUUCGAAGGGAUGCAGUUCCUCGGCGGGGUCUUCUUUCGGCGCCGGGUGAAGCUCGUACAUUCCGUCGGCGAGAUUCAACUCUACACGGAAAUGCAAUGCAGAGGUUAAACAUUUUAGAUGGUUAUUUCAACACACUCAUGUUUUAACACGGACACUUUGCUACAGGAAAGGUGGGGGAGUUCAACUUCUGUUGGUGGAGAACAGGAUGAGAGGGUCGGAUUGGGGGAAACUUAGGGUCUGACCCUCAGGUUUAAGGAAAAAUCGUACCGAGGUCCUCAGACUCAACACAGAGGAAUCCCCGAAAUUAUUUCAUCGAUACCCUCAGGUCAAAGAAAAAGUUACAACCGAGCCCUCGGGCGAGGCGGAGAAAGGGUCGGCGAAACUUGGCAGGGUCGGGCGAGGCGAAAGGAAAAAGGUCGGGCGAGACGAAAAGAAAAGGGGUCGGGCGAACCGAAACAAAGGGGUCGGGCGAAAUGAAAAGGAAGGGGUCGGUCGAGACGGAACACAAGGGGUCGGUCGAGACGGAACACAAGAGGUCGGUCGCUUACCUCCAGGUCUACCGGUGAAGCCUUGGGGCCGAACAGGAGUAGGCUGGGGUGGGAAGUCGUACGCGCUAAGGCUUGGGCAGCGGCGAGACUUCGACGGUGGUCCGGCAGCGGCGGUGCUUCUUGCGGACACCAGCAAGCUCGAGUACCGCGCGGAGGAGCGGAUGGCUGGUGUGUUGGGAGAAACGGCUUGAGGGUGGCGGCGAAGUCGCCGGAGUGUGGGGGUGGUGCAAAAGGGGUGAGCUCCACGGAAGCUCAGCGGCGGCGCGGGGAGAAAGCGGCGGCGCAGGUGCGGGCGGUGGCAAGGGGUGGCAUUGCUGGUGAGGGGGUUCCCUUUUAUAGGGCCGGGGUGGCGCGGAGGGUCGAGGCGGGGCUCCGGUGGGGAAAGGAUAAGGCCGGGAGCGGCGAGUGCACGGGCAAGGCGGCCAUUGGCCGGCGACGCCAUUGGGUAGAGGAGGCGGAGCUCUAGGUGGUCUUCGGCGGCGAUUGGCCUUGGGCGGUGCGCGUCUGGGGCUUCCGGUCUGUCGGGCGGGCGAGGCGGAGAGCUACCGUGGGGGUUGGGCGAACGGGCGGAGGCGCGGGAUGUCGAGGGCGUGUUAGCUUUCUUGGCGAACGGGCGGAACAGGGUUGGCGGAGCAGAGCCGUGGCAGGCGGAAGGCGGCACGCGCGUGGCCGGCGGUUGGCUGGCCCGUUCGCUCCGUCUUGUCGCAGGCGCGGGUUGGGCGCCGUGGCUCUCGUCCUGUCGCUGUCGUGCUGGGGAUAGGGCGCUGGCGAGCUGCCGGUGGCCGCUAGAUUUUUCUCACUAUGAAUAUAAUUCAUAGCAAUUACUUUGGAGUUUUUCAGCUUUCUAACAGAUUUAAGCCUCCGCUUCACAUGCCUCGAGGACUUCAUAUUAUCCUUAGUACUCAUAACUUUGAUCAAUACCGUUUGGUUAUCAUAGUACAUAAGGAUUGCCGGAACUGGUUUCUCCACCAGUGGCAAGUCCAUGAGUAGCUCUCUUAGCCACUCGGCCUCAACAGUAGCCGUGUCAAGUGCUACAAGCUCAGCUUCCAUGGUUGACCACGUCAAAAUGGUCUGUUUACACGACCUCCAUGAAACUACAGCACCUGCUAGUGUAAACAUAUAGCCACUCGUGGCUUUAAUUUCAUCCGCAUCAGAAAUCUAGUUGGAAUCACUAUAUCCUUCCAAUGCAGAUGGAUAACCAGUAUAGUGAAUUCCAUAUUCGAUUGUACCUCUCAUGUAACGUAGCACUCUCUCUAGUGCCUCCCAAUGAUCCUUCCCUGGAUUGGAAGUUAAACGACUUAAUUUGCUCACAGCAAAAGAUAUGUCGAGACAUGUUGCACCAGCAAGAUACAAAAGGGACCCAAUUAUUUGUGAAUAUCUCAAAUGGUCCAUCCCUUCAUCUUUAUUUUUCCUUAGCUUUACACUAGCAUCGUAGGGUGUAGGGGAUACUUUUGCAUUUUCAAAGCAAAAGCGACAAAAUAAUUUUUUCACAUAAUGAGAUUGAUUUAGAAUAAUCCCAUUCUCAUUUUUGGUCAACUUAAUAUUUAGGAUAACACUUGCUUCUCCCAGAUCCUUCAUGUCGAAGCCUGAAGAUAAGAAUGAUUUGACCUUCAAGCCCACUGCACACCGAAUUCGAAGGUCGACAAGGCGCCAUAGCAAGAGAUUCAGCACAGCGAGUGGGAAGACGAGCGUGUAACAGCGUCCAUUCAACCAGGACAUCUCCUGGUGUUAUAGACCUUCGUAGUGCAUCAGUUUCCCCAUCAAACAGCCUCAUCAAGCAGUAGAAACUGCCAAUUUGAACGAUAGAAACGGCUUCCAUCAAAUUGUUGAAACUGACACACCUUAUUGCUGUUUAAAACGGCAAUUUCAAUCACAUUGAAUUGCCAUUAGGCUCAGCAUAAAAAAAAUAAUAACUGCACAAACAAUAGUCACAACUCACGCGAUUUUCCACGUGAAAAUGUGCGUGAGCUUCAUGUGCGUGUAGCAACAAUCUCCUUCUCUCUCAUUUGCAUCUAUUUUGCAUAGAGAGGAGACUCCCAUAUUUAAGCAAGGCAACCUCUCCUUGAAUUAGCAAUAUAAGACUAAAGGUUGUGUAUGCUUUGGAAUUUUCUAAUUGGGCCACAUAUGGGCCUAAAUCCAAGACGGUGAAGGUUCUUCUAUCUCAACUCAAGGUGACGUUUAUAGCCUCGGCAUAUUGCUUCUUGAGAUGUUUACUGGAAGGAGCCCAACGGAUGAGAUGAGAUAUUCAAUGAUUCUUUGGAUUUGCACAAGUUUUCAGCGAAUGCUCUUCCAGAGAGAAAACGGGAUAUAGUUGAUCCGACAAUAUGGAUGCACACAGAUGCCUAUAACAGCACUAUAAGAAGUGGAAUUAAGAAUUGCUUGCUUUCUGUUGUUUGUCUUGAAAUAUCAUGCUCGAAGAAACAACCUAGGGAGCAGAUCCCGAUUCAGGAUGCAGCCAUUGAGAUGCACGCUAUUAGAGAUUCGUAUCUCAAGUUUGCCAGAUCUCUUUUGGUGGAGCAUGGAGUAGUAGCAACAACUCACAGUGAUUUCCCACAACAGUGAAUACAUAGGACUGAAAAUGGGCAAGAUGUUGCAGGUGAUCAGUUUACCUGAAAUAACUGAAGAUGUAUGAAGCUUCAGCUUUAUAAUUCGUCCAUGCAUUUGUUUGCAUCAGAUAUAUGGAAGUAUAAAAUAAGUUUAGAAAAUGUUUCAAAAUAGAUUAGAUCCAGAGGUUUUACUUGUCGUCUGUAUGACACAUUUUUUGUAGAGAAUUCAGUAAUAUGUAUGAUUCAUAAUACAAUCAAUGCUCUACAAAUUUCAAUAGCACAAUUGGAAUAAAAAGCUCAUUCAUUGAUUAUGUUGCUCUAGGUAACUCAACUUAUUGUGAUGUUCACUGUAGAUUUCUCCAUGGUCCAAACGACCUUUGUGAUCAGUUAUGUUUAUGCAUUUUGUAGAAUUGUAAAGUCUUUCCCUAACCUGCUGACGUAUCAGCCGGAGCAUGAGAAGGGGGUGCACCAAAUAUGGGAUGAGAUGGAGAGGAGUGAAUCAGGCCCAGAUCAACGAUCAUUUACUAUUAUGGUUUAUGGUCUUCAUUCCCAAGAAAAGCUUGAUGAGGCUCUGCAAUAUUACACAACAAUGAAGUCAAGAGGGUUGAUCCCUGAACCAAGGACCAAGAUACUGGUGAAAGCUAUACAUAUGAAGAAAGAUGGGGCUGUCACAGAAGAUCAGUCUGCAAAUAUGACAGGGAAGAAUCUAAAACUGGAUCCACGAUCUAGCCUAUUCCAUGUUCAUAAAUAGUUUGCUGUCAGAUCUUACUUCUAUAACCUCAACAGAGGAUUGCUGGGCACGUAUUAUGUGUCAAAAGAAUCUCUUCUACCAGUGUCCAGAUCACAAUGGCCACACCUUGGGCUACAAUAAAUCAUCAGAAAAGUGUAUUGGCAUCAUGUAUCCCAGAAAGUUUUGCUCAGACUUUCAAUGCCAGGGUAUGUUUUUCAUGUCUGAUAUGGAUCAAUUAUAUUGCAAGUACUGUAUUACACGCUCGUAUUAUGAAGGUUAUGUGAAAUAUGACAGAUGUUUGUUUAUUCAUCUGUUAUGCAUGGCUGUGUCUACUGUCUAGCUGUUGGCUUGUUGCCAACAUAUGCAGCAGCAGGUAGCUUCAGCCGCUCAGAAGCCCAAAUGAAGGAUGGCCCAGGCAGAAUAGCUAUGUCUAGACCCAGAAAGCUUAGGACAUGUCUUGCCAGCCUGCAGUUUUGUACUCGUAGCACCAACCAUCUCCGGGUUCUGGCCGGUUAUAUACAUGGUCUGGACUCUGGAAUGGGCAUCCGCUGAUCGAUUGAAACCUUGAGCUGCUUCCGUGUUUGUCUUUUACCAUCUAUAUAUUAUGGUUAGUCAACGGCAUGCAGUACACCCAUGCAUAUGAUUGCAGUAGGAUGACAUGGCGCGACCAGAACCCUUCUUUUGCCAGUUUUAGAUUCUUAUACACGGCCAACUGACGCAGCAGGGAGUUGCAUGCUAAGCAGUUCAGCGUAGGUGGUGAGUUCUCAACUCUGAUAUGGCUUAUGGAAGAACACUGUCACGGUGUUACCUAGCCGGUUGGAGGCCAACCUCUUACUAGGGACAGCAAUGGCCCUGUCCGGCCACUGUUUCGUGGCUGGUAUUAUUACCCCUAUGCAGUGAAUAUGACAUGUGGAUCUAUGUGUAUAUUAUGUCGUCAAAAGAACAUUAUAUGAACCGUUGAUCCACCUUUGAUUCUAUUAAUGUGUCAUGGUCAAUUGAUGUCAAACUCUAUUAUCUUCAAGUCUUAUUGUAUUGAUAAAAUCACGAUGCUGCUACUGCCAUUUUGAUGUUUAUAAAAGGGUAUUGAGAACCUGGUGGGUAUCCAUUGGAUGCGCAGGGUUGAUGGUGGGGAAAAAUGAGUGUAAAGGACAGGGAUGCAGUAUUUAGAAAGAUGGGGCUGCCACAGAAAAUAGUCUCCAAGUAUGGCAGGGAAGAAUCUAAAACUGAAUCCUUGAUCAAGACUGUCCCAUAUUCAUAAAUAGUUCACUGACAGAUCUUGCUUCCAUAUUCUGAACAGCUGAUGCUGGGCACAUAGGAGGUUAACCGGUCAGCGGAUCAAAGAAAAUCCACAAUGGCCUCAUCUUGGGUUAGAGACAAUCAUCGGUAAAGAAUCAUAUUGCCGGAUAAGGAUAUCUGUGAUUGGUGGGUGCAGAUCCAUGCUCAUUCAAGAAACACAUGAUUCUUUACGGAUGAUCAUCUCUCAGCACACCCUGCUGAUAAGGUUAUCUGAGAUUGGUGGGUGCAGAUCCUAGAAACAAGCUAGGGCUGAAUGCGCCGCUGUACUUGGAUGUUGUGGUGACACCGUAAUGAUUGUGUGUUUAACGGAGUUUCCCAUAGUGACUAGCGUGCAGGCCGUCCUCGUAUUUGAGAAAAAAAUCAAUGGGCGAAAUGUUUUCACCCAGGUAAUUGUUGCAUUGUAUGAAUAGGCUUAGAUACCUGGUUACUGUGACACAAGAAGAUUUAUCAUAUCUAUCUAUGAAUUAGUGUUAAAUCUCCUACAUAAAUAUCUUCUCUUAUCUCACUUUAUGUAUAUAUAUGACACAGAAGCACAUGUAUAUCGGCAUUGUAGAGAUAGAGAUGAGAGAGAAGCUUAUCUGCUUUUUGGAGAUAAAUAUUCAAAUUACUAGUGUAUGAGAGGGAUAGAAUUAUUCUAUCAUAUUGUUUAUUCAACAUCUAAAAAGAUUCCAUGUUUAGUCAUCUAUAUCGGCGUUGUAGAGAGAGAGACUAGUGUUCAUCUGGUUGGAAGGAUGAGAGAGAGAGGAGAGAGUUUGGAUGAGAUAGAGAGAUAGUGUUCAGCUGGUUGGAAGGAUGAGAGAGAGAGAGAGGAGAGUUUGGAUGAUAGAGAGAUUAGUGUUCACUUGGUUGGAAGGAUGAGAGGGAGAUGAGAGAGUUCGGAUGAGGAGGUAGAGAGUUCGGAAGAGAGAGAGAGGUGAGAGUUCGGAUGAGAGGUGUGAGAGAGGUGAGAGUUCGGAUGAGAGAUAAAGUAGCUUAUAAGGAUGAGAGAGAGAAAGCGGUAUUCAGCUGGAUGGUGGAGACUUCAUAUAUUACUAAUAAUGCAUCCAAACAACAUUUAAAAUUUAAUUCUAAGAAAAACUUUCUCGGUAAAUCAAAACAAGAAAAUUCAAUUGAAUCAAAUUCUACGGAAUCCAUUUCCUAUGAAAUCUAAUUGCUAGAAUAUGAUUCAUGGAAUGAGUUCCAAUUCUAGAGAUCCAAACGGGCCCUAAGAGAAUUGUAGUGAUCAACUCCCAAGUUGCAAUAUAUCCUAGGAAAUAGGUGGUUAUGAGGAUGAUACCUGCAGACAAUACUUUUAAUCCCUCAAUUCUUACAGAGAAUUGCACUAUCAACUGCAUUUUCAUUUGUGCCACGCUGCUCAGCUAUAAAAAACGGGGCAAAUCGACCAAAAUAAAUGAAUAAACCACAUGGUUUAGACUGGUGGCAUAUGUAUGUCUGAUGAGUUUAGAAUCCCAACAGACCUCUGUUUGCUUAUCCAACAGGAGGGAAAAAGUUUACUUACUAAAUCAGCUUUGCAUGUCAGGCUGCAAUUGUUAGAGAGUAGAAUUGGGUAAUUUGUGAACAUAAUUGAAUCAAAGUUUUGUCUCAGACUAGUAAUAGAAAAUGGUGAUGCUCCAUAGCUAGAACAACACGUUCCUACACUAGUUUAAAAAAUCCCCUGAAAUUGGGAACAAUGGUCAAGCCCAAACCAUACUUGGAACUUGGAAGGCCGCUGGCGGAUGUCAAAGUCAAAAACAGAAGCAGACAGCGACGUCUCACCAGAUCACGAAUCAGAUGCGAUGCAUAUACAUGUUGCAGGCAUUAGCACGCAUCCCUUAGGAUUAAACAAUUCAGCAAGUAGCUCCCCUGCUGACCAAGAAAAGCAAGCUCUGUCUCGCAGCAAGCUCUUCAAUACGCUCCAGCCCAGCUCUACCAUGGCAUUGGCAAUGCGCGUCAUGAGCUUGCUUCCUGCCACCAUCGCCGUGAUGAUCGCAGCGGCCUCCUGGGGAGCGCACGGCGGUGCCAGCGACGAGGCCAGCGCGCUGCUUGCUUUCAAGGCUGAGCUCGCCGGCAGCGGCUCCGGCAUGCUUGCAUCCUGGAAUGGCACCGCUGGCGUCUGCAGCUGGGAGGGCGUGGCGUGCACCAGCGGCCAGGUGGUGGCACUGAGCCUGCCCUCUUAUGGGUUCGCCGGAGCCCUCUCCCCGGCCAUUGGGAACCUCACUUUCCUGCGGACCCUGAACCUGAGUUCCAACUGGUUCCAGGGGGAGGUCCCAGCAAGCAUCGGCCGCCUAGCGCGUCUGCAGACGCUUGAUCUGAGCUACAAUGCGUUCUCUGGUACGCUUCCUUCCAACCUCAGUUCCUGUGUCAGCUUACUGCUGUUAGAUCUCAGCAGUAACCGGUUCCAUGGGCGUAUCCCUGUUGAGCUUGGAGACAAGCUAACAAGUCUUCAGAAGUUCUCACUGGGCAACAACAGCUUGACGGGUGCCAUGCCAGGAUUACUAGGUAACCUGUCAUCCCUGAACUACCUUGAUCUGAGAAAAAACCACCUCGAGGGUCCGAUCCCACAUGAACUCGGCAGCAUGGGCGGCCUGCAGGUCCUUUUACUCCAUGACAACAGACUCUCCGGUGUGCUUCCACACUCCCUGUACAAUCUGUCCUCACUGAAAAAGUUGGGGGUAGGAGACAACAUGCUGUCUGGAACCAUCCCUGCUGAUAUCGGCGAUAGGUUCCCCGGUAUGGAAGCUCUUGACUUUUCUAGCAACCGAUUCAGUGGAGCUAUCCCACCUUCGCUCGGCAACCUCUCUGCUCUCACAAAACUAGUCCUUCAAGAAAAUGGUUUUAUUGGAUAUGUGCCUUCUGCUUUGGGAAAGUUGCAAAGUCUUACUGCCCUUUUCUUGGGUGUUAACAGGCUAGGAGCAAACGACAGUCAAGGGUGGGAAUUCAUCACUUCACUGGCAAACAGCUCCCAGCUUCAGGUUCUUGUUCUCGGCAACAACUCUUUCAGCGGGCAACUGCCUAAUUCAGUCACAAACCUGUCAUCAACUCUGCAAGGUCUUUAUUUGGGAGACAAUAUGAUUUCUGGGAAUAUUCCAAUAAACAUCGGAAAUUUGGUUGGUCUUACAGUAUUUGUGAUGGGAAAUACUUCUGUAUCUGGACAGAUUCCAGAGAGCAUUGGUCAGCUAAGAAACUUGGGUGUGUUAGGCCUUUACAACACUAGCUUGUCAGGCCUCAUACCUUCGUCACUAGGAAAUCUUACACAGUUGAAUAGGCUUUAUGCAUACUAUGGAAACUUAGAGGGGCCAAUUCCAUCAAACUUGGGGAACUUAAAGAAUGUGUUUGUCUUUGAUCUCUCAACAAAUCGACUCAAUGGUUCAAUUCCUAUAGAGGUUUUAAAACUUCCUCAACUUUCCUGGUACUUAGACUUAUCAUAUAAUUCAUUAUCCGGGCCACUUCCAAUUGAGGUUGGUACCAUGGUGAAUCUUAACGAACUGAUUCUGUCUGGAAACAAGUUGUCAGGCACCAUACCAGCUAGUGUUGGGAACUGUAUAUCGUUGGUACGGCUGCUGCUCGAUAACAACUUAUUAGAAGGAAGCAUACCUCAAUCUCUGAAGAAUAUAAAAGGUCUUGCAUUACUGAACCUAACAAUGAAUAAGCUAUCUGGUAGUAUUCCUGAUGCCCUUGCUAGCAUUGGCCACCUGCAACAACUGUAUCUUGCACACAACAACUUGUCAGGUUCCAUCCCCAAAGUUCUACAGAAUUUGACAUUGUUGGCAAAACUGGAUUUGUCCUUCAAUGAUCUGCAAGGCGAAGUGCCAAAAGGGGGUCCUUUUGCAAAUGCAACUCACUUGUCAAUUGAUGGAAAUGAUGAGCUUUGUGGCGGAAACCCUCAACUUCAUUUAGCUCCGUGCUCCACAGCAGCUGCGGAGAAGAACAGAAGGCGAAUGUCAAGGUCACUUAUGGUCACCGUAGCGUCAAUCUGCGCACUUCUAUUCUUAGGUUUAGUAGUUUGUCUUAUCCAUUUGAUCCACAAGAGGCUCAGACAAGGAAAGGAAAAUCAACUCAUUCCCACAGUAAUUGAUGAACAGCACGAAAGGGUUUCAUAUCAAGCAUUAGCAAAUGGGACUGACCAUUUUUCGCAGGUUAAUCUGCUCGGACAAGGAAGCUAUGGUGCAGUUUAUAAGUGCACUUUACAAGACAAGGGAAUUACCGCAGCUGUAAAGGUAUUCAACGUGUGGCAAUCUGGGUCUACUAGAAGUUUUGUGGCUGAAUGUGAGGCACUGCGAAGGGUGCGCCACCGAUGUCUCAUAAAGAUCAUCACCUGUUGCUUAAGCAUUGAUCACCAAGGCCAAGAAUUCAAGGCACUGGUUUUUGAGUUCAUGCCCAAUGGUAACCUAAAUGGUUGGCUGCAUCGAGCAUCCAAAAUACAGAGUCUGAGCAAUACGCUCAGCUUAGCUCAGAGACUGGACAUUGCGGUAGAUAUCAUGGAUGCUUUGGAUUAUCUUCACAAUCAGUGUCAACCGCCUAUUAUCCAUUGUGAUCUCAAACCAAGUAACAUCCUCCUUGCCGAAAGUAUGAGUGCUCGGGUUGGAGAUUUCGGCAUAUCAAAAAUCCUUCCUGAUGACACUAGCAAAACUAUGCUGAAUUCGGUUAGCUUCACUGGACUAAGAGGUUCCAUUGGAUACGUCGCUCCAGGUAACAGAAACUAACACUGAUAUUGCUAUGUUCAGUUUUUAACUUCCAUUUUGCCAAGUCCAGUUAUCUCGGCAUGAAUCGUUCGUAAGUAGCUUGCCAUGAAUCCACUGACCAAAUAGUUUCUGAAAUCUCAAUUGACUGCAGAGUACGGCGAGGGUCGCGCCGUCUCAACUCUUGGAGAUGUUUACAGCCUCGGCAUACUGUUGCUUGAGAUGUUCACCGGGAUGAGCCCUACUGACGACAUGUUCAAAGGCUCCUUGGACCUUCAUAAGUUCGCCGAGGCCGCUCUCCCCGACAGAGCCUUGAAGGUAGCCGACCCGGCAAUCUGGCUUCAUGAAGAAGCAAAGGGGGAAGACCCGGCCACGGUGAGAAGCAGAAGCGAGAGGUGCUUGGCUUCAGUGGUCGGGCUUGGCGUGUCCUGCUCAAAGCAGCUGCCAAGGGAGCGGACGGCGAUGCGGGAUGCUGCCGCUGAGAUGCGUGCGAUCAGAGAUGCCUUCCUGGUUCAAUGUGCAACAGAGACUUGGCCUGCAGUCGGCACCAGCGGCCUUGGAAGCACAGACACUUGAAUGGUGGACGGAGCUACGGUCUCUUGACGCACCAAGGAGCCACCGGACUAGCUGCUCUGCAACUAACAGGGUGGAGAAAGCGCCCCUUAAUGAAAAGAAAAACAGCCGGUGCAAGGCUUUAUACGGAGGGGUGUUUGGAUCCCCGGACUAAAUUUUAGUUCCUGUCACAUUGUCCAUCGAAUAUUUCGAUACUAAUUAGGUCUAUUAAACAUAGACUAUUUACAAAAUCCAUUACAUAGAUGGAGGUUAAACGGCGAGACGAAUCUAUUAAGCCUAAUUAGUCCAUGAUUUGACAAUGUGCUGCUACAGUAACCAUUUGCUAACGAUGGAUUAAUUAGGCUUAAUAAAUUCGUCUCACCGUUUAGCCUCCAUCUGUGUAAUUAGUUUUAUAAUUAACUCAUAUUUAAUCCUCCUAAUUAGUCUUCGAAUAUUCGAUGUGACACGGACUAAACUUUAGCUCCAGGAUCCAAACAUCCCCAAAGAAUGUGACAGCCACUGCGUGUAUCCGAGAGCCUUAUCUAAUCUACCAAUGAUUGUUGUGUAUGGAUGCAUAUAGAUUAUGCACGAACUCCCUCCGUCCCAAAAAAAUGUACUACUAUUUAUAAUGUAUAAUAAGUAUCAUUAGAUUGAGUAUUGAGUAUACUUUCCUAAUACAUUUAUUUGAAGAUACAAAUGUUGAUACUAUUUUCUAUAUUCUUAGUCAAAUUUAAAAACGUUGACUCCUCGAAAAGUGAGAUGUGUGUUUAUUUUGGGACGGAGGGAGUACCCGGGGAUUAGUCACGAUACAAGUAGGGAUUAGCAAGCACCAAAACCUCAUUCAUUGCCCUUCGAUCGCUCAAAUAAAAGCAACCAUUGCAUAUGGUGGCGAUGCGCUUGCGGGCCUUUCUCCAACCUUCAUUCUCCAACCUCUCUGCUCUCGCGGGCCUUGAACUCGCAUGGAACAGUUUUAGUGGAAACGUACCCCAACUUUGAAGAGAUUGCAAAGCCUCAUUUUACCUAUCCUUAAGUGGCAAUAAGCUAGGAUCGAAUGAUAAGGACGGAUUGGAAUUCAUCACCAUGCUGGCAAACUGCAGCCAGCUCCAGCAACUGGCUUUUGACAAUAGUUCAUUCAUCGGGGAACUUCCUACUCAAUUGCAAAUCUAUCGACAACACUCCAAUUGCUCUGUAUAGGAAACAAUUGGAUUUCGGGAUUUAUUCCAUCCAGCAUCGGUAAUUUGGUUGGUCUAGAACUGCUUACGUUGGCAAAUACUUUCAUAUCCGUGAAGGAUCGAAACUGGCGACCAGAGGGGGGUGAAUGGGAGCCUCACAAAAAUUCGCGGAAGCAAUUUGAGUAAAAUUAGAAUAAAAUUUAUUUGCAAUUUCCAACACAGAUAAAAAGACAGGGGUAAGCAAAAAGCUAAAUCACGUGAUAAAGACCCACUAAACAAAAUAUUAAACAAAAGAGCAUAUGGUUGCAAAAAGGUUGUUUACUGUUCAUAGAAAGUGACCUCACCUUCCCUGGUGCAUGCGUGAGUGAUGUUUCUAGAAACAAUAUUAAUGUGUAAUAUUGAAAGUGCUAAUGAGAAGGAAAUUUGCAAAGCAGAGACACGACCUGCAAGUCACCUGCAGGCACAUGCGUGCGCUGUUCGGAAGCAGAACGCUGUUCCUGGCCGGUCACCUCCCUUGUACGGGGCACACACAGUAAAAUCCAGAGACGUGCGCUUCAGUAGAGCAGGCAGCGUACGAACUAAUCAUACGAGCUCAUCGGCGGCUGGCCCUGGUGCGACGCUGCGAGCCGUGGCUGACCGCCAGGAGCAGACCUUGUCCUCCCGCAACGAUGUGUCCCUGAACAGCAAAACGGGAACAACCAAACCGGCGGCGCAAACAACGAAAACAAAGGGAACGGAGGAAAAUCGGAUCUCGCACGAACAAAGAACAAAUCACAAGGACGAAUGAUUAAAGUGUAAUUAUUCUACAAAAGUGCAUCUAGCCUCCGCCCGAUCGUCCUCCCUCUCUUCAUUGGAGAGAUCAACAAAAAUCCCUCGCUAGUAUUGAAACCCUAGGCUAGACAAAAAGCGAGAAAGCAAGAGAACCCUCUCAACCCUAGGUGCCACAUAUUUAUAUCCUUAGGGUGGCACGACCUAUUUACACAUAACCCCCUACGCUAAAUAAAUCUAACGUAGGGGCGUAAAUUCCAAUUACGUCCUCCAUGGUAAAUUCCGCGAUGUCCGCAAUCCCUCCAUCUCUACGACGUGAUCUUCGCGAUGUCGCCGCACGACCAUCCGAAAUCGUAUCGCGAUCGUCGGAAUUUCCAUCUUGGGCCAACGCCUGUCGCACGGGCGUCCCGAUACGAUGCAUGGCUUUGUGGCUCAACCAGCGAACCCCGGAUUUUGUGGCAUAAUCCGGAAACCUCCCUCGACGUCCUCCCGCCGUGUAGCCAGGUACAGUAGAUGUAUACCGCACGAUCGCCUGUCCCUCGAACGCAAGCCUCGAUCCGCCCUUCUCCGCCCCCGCGGUUUUUCAACGUGGCAUCCUAUCUUCGUUCUUCACUCGUCGCCGCAUGUACCUUGUCUCCACCUGUCACCUGCAACCACAACCUACCAAGAGACACGUCACACGCACACCGUGUUAUCAAUCGCUCAUCACCAAGGUGCUAGCCCACCGGCAUCUCAAUCUCCCCCUUGAUGAGUGCAUUGACAACACCACACCGCACAAAUUUAUUCGUACGGAAAAAGAAAAAUAAAAAGAAAGAAAAAGAAACGAUCUUAAUCCCCAAAGACAUGGGCUAGCGAAAAAGCUAGGCUCGACACAAUAAAGACAGAAAUUCACUCUCCCCAAAGUGAAUCAAAAGCCAUAUCAAUCUCCCAAAAGCAAUCUCAGCAGCAAAACUCACAAAUUUCAGCAAAACUCCCCCUACAAGAAUGAACGAACUUCCCCAGCAAGAAUGAAGUUGUGCGCUACUCACUCUCCCCCUUGUUGACAAAGCACUCCAUCAAGAUAAAAGGCAAGGAACCAAUUUAGAGAAAAGCAUGUGAGAAAGCACAAGUUGAAGCUUCUGAGACAUAUGCCAAAUACUUAUAAAAGAACAACACUAGCUAUCCAGAGAAGGAACAAUACAAUGCCAUGACCAAUAAAAAUUUAGAACUGAAAUCUGUUUGAAAACUAAUGUGCCAGGCAAAAACGUGCACAUUCCAAACUCAGUGCAAAGCUGAAGACAAAACAUAUAGCAAGCUCACACGACAGAUACACAGCUUCAGUCCAAGUUCACUGCAACGCCCACAAAUGCAUUCACUUGUCAUAUUUAAUUCUAACUUUUGUGAGCAUGAUAAGCAGGGACAUGGGAAGCAAGAGUUGUGCCCAGCCAGUUUGUUUAAUUUUGUUUAUGAGCGAGAACCAGCAGGGACAUGGGAAAAACAGAGUUGCACCCAUAUUUAAAUUCUGAGUAAGGCAAGCAGAUCAUGAGCUAAAUAGCAGAGAUAUGGGAAUUCAGAGUUUUUGCUCACAACCAUACUAUGUACUCCCGAGUUAAAACUUGUAUUGUGAGUUACAUUUGCAGUGAAAACCCAUUAAAAGAAGCUGACUACCGAACCAUGAGCAAGAUAUAUGUCAAGUAUUCAACAAGUCACUAGAUCCAGAAAAGCAAACAUAGCCCAACAUAAUUUUUUAAGUAUAUAUCUGUGCUUUUUUUAAAAUAAAAAUUGGUCAAGCAAAGCAUUCAAACCUCUCCAAAAGCAUCGAUUGCAAACUAGCCAAAACAAGUAUAAAGCAUAUGUAACUGAAGCAACUUACAAUGAUACUAGAAUGGGUAACACACCCCGAACUCACCACGCAGACGUGCAAACGUGGUUUGAUCUAGUGGCUUAGUCAAAAUAUCAGCAAGUUGCUGACUAGUAUCAAUAUGCUUAAGAUCAAUAUCACCCUUUUCAAAAUGAUCCCUCAGAAAAUGAUGACGAACCUCAAUGUGUUUCGUCUUAGAGUGAAGCACAGGAUUCUUUGCAACACUUAUAGCGCUAGUGCUGUCACACAAGAGAGGAACGCGAGAAAACGACAAACCAAAAUCGCGAAGGGUAGCUAUCAUCCAUAAAAGCUGAGAACAACAACUAGCAGCAGCAACAUACUCAGCCUCUGUAGUAGAUUGAGCAACAUUAGAUUGUUUUCUAGAGGACCAAGAAACAAGCGAAGAACCCAAAAAUUGGCAAGUACCCGAUGUAGACUUUCUAUCCAAACGACACCCAGCAAAAUCAGCAUCCGAAUAACCACACAAACUGAGAGUCGAAGCAGCAGAGUACCAAAGGCCAAAUGCAGGAGUAAAUCGGAGAUACCUCAUUAUGCGCUUCACCGCCUGACGGUGAGAAGUCCUGGGGGACGCCUGAAAACGAGCACACAUACACACAGCAAAGUGUAUAUCUGGCCUCGUAGCAGUCAAGUACAGCAGCGACCCAAUCAUGCUUCGAUAUUCCUUCUGAUCUACAGGCUCUCCGUCCUCAUCAGCAUCCAAAGCUACGCUAGUCGGCAUGGGCGUAGAAAUUGGCUUCGCAUCAUCCAUCGCAAACUUCUUCAGGACAUCCUUCGUGUACUUUCCCUGAUGCACAAAUGUACCUUCCAAAGUUUGUUUUAUUUGUAAGCCAAGAAAGAAAUUCAGCUCGCCCAUCAUAGACAUCUCAAAUUCUUUGCUCAUCACAUCUACAAACUUUUUCACAAGAGCAUGAGAGGAACCACCGAAAAUGAUAUCAUCCACAUAAAUCUGAACUAUUAAAGUGUCAUUUCCUUGCCUGAGGAGAAAAAGAGUUUUAUCAACUGAACCCAUUUUGAACCCAUUUUUAAGCAAAAAAGUUUUCAAUCUAGCAUACCAAGCGCGAGGUGCUUGCUUCAAACCAUAUAAAGCCUUUUGCAACUGAAGAACACGAUCAGGAAAAUUGGGAUGUUCAAAACCAGGUGGUUGUUUAACAUAAACUUCUUCUUCUAUAAAACCGUUCAGAAAAGCACUUUUCACGUCCAUUUGAUAAAGCUUAUAACCACGUGAAGCAGCAAAUGCAAGCAAAAUACGAAUGGCUUCUAAACGAGCAACAGGAGCAAAAGUUUCACCAUAAUCAAUACCCUCUUUCUGAGAAAAGCCCUGAGCAACCAGCCUAGCUUUAUUUCUAACAACAUAACCAUCUUCCCCUUGUUUGUUCUUAAAGACCCAUUUAGUCCCAAUUGGUUUACAAGAGGGAGGAGGAUCAACCAAAACCCAAACCUGAUUCCGUUCAAAAUUUUCUAACUCCUCAUGCAUGGCAUUGACCCAGUUAGAAUCAGAUAAAGCAUGUCCAACAUCUCAGGGUUCAAAAAAGGCAACAAAAGCAGUAUGCGCAAAGACACAAUAAUUUUUAUUUUUCAUACCUUUGUUCCUUGUCGUGCGCUCAUCCAAAUUACCUAUUAUGUUCCUUGCAGGAUGACGAUUCUGAAUGUGUUGUGGUGCUGUACGUUCUGAAAUCGCCUCCCCCUCAACUGCAGCCGGCACCUGAUCAACAGUCGGUGAAGCUGCAGGCGCUGCUGUAGAUGUACGUGUCGACGACGGUCCAUCCUCCAAAGUGGUGGAGGGCGCCUGCUCAGACUGGGCGCCAGGCUCCCCCUGCAUCGCAGGCUGGGCGUCAUCGUCGUCGUCGUCGUUGCAUCCAUCUUCCUCUUUCUCAUCCUCAAAAAUAUCCUGCCCGAUCUCAUCAUCACCUGCACACUCAGAAGCAGAAGAAAAACAAGGCAUUGUCUCGUUGAAGGUGACCUCACAUGUCUCCUCGAUGCGGUUAGUAUCAAGAUUAAGCACACGGUAUGCUCGCCCUUGCAAGGCAUACCCCAAAAAUAACCCAUCAGAAGAACGCGAUUCAAAUUUAUCCAAAUUUCCCUUUUUCAAUAUAAAACACUUGCAGCCAAAGACUCGAAAGUGGAAAACUUUGGGAGGUCGACCAAAUCUCAACUCAUAAGAUGUUUUUCCCAGAAAAGCUCUCAGAAAAAUGCGAUUAGCAACAUAGCAAGCGGUGUUGAUCGCCUCAGCCCAAAAACGUCUAGGAGUUUUAUGUUCAUCAAGCAUUGUCCUAGCCAUCUCAACAAGCGUACGAUUUUUACGCUCAACAACACCAUUCUGGGGAGGAACGUAAGGUGAGGAAAACUGGUGAUCUAAACCUUGUUCUGAACAAAAAGCUUUCAUACGAGAAUUCUUGAAUUCCAUACCGUUGUCACUGCGAAUUGCUCUAACGGCAUUAUUUGACAACUCGUUUUUCAGCUUCAGAACAAGAUCAUGAACAUGUGAAAAAGCCUCAUCCUUAGAUUCCAAAAAGAACACCCAUGAAUAUCGAGAAAAAUCGUCCACAACGACGAGCACAUACCACUUCCCACCAGCGGACCGAACACGGGCUGGACCAACUGUGUCCAUAUGUAACAGCUCACCCGGUCGUCUUGUCAUCACCUGAGUCAUAGGUGCAUGAGAAGCAGCAACCAUUUUUCCAUGUUUGCAGGGAGCACAAACCAAAUCCUUCUCAAAUUUGAGUUUCGGUAAACCAGCAAUUAAAUUCAUGGAACUCAAGCGGCAAAGCAAAUCAAAGCUCAGGUGGCCCAAGCGACGAUGCCACUUUCAAAUAUCAGGGGAACCAUGAGCAACCAAACAACGAGUCUGUCCAAAAGAUUUAGAAAAAUCAACCUUAAAAACUCGUCCAAAGGGAGAAAUCUUGCAAACAAGGUCACCAGCAGAAUCAAGAACUCGCGAAUUGCCUUUCUUAAAACGCACUUCAAAAUCAUCUUCAAGGAGUUGCGAGACAGAAAGCAGAUUAUAAUGCAAAUUUUGUACCUUCGCGACAUCCUUUAGCAUGAAUUUUUCAGAUACAUUGAUGCAGCCAUGCGCCAAAACCUUACCUUUACUAUUAUCCCCGAAUGUAAUAUGUUCCUUACCACUCGCGGGGGUGAGGCUGGAGAACCAUCUGUCAUCUCCGGUCAUGUGGCGCGAACAACCGGAAUCCAUUAUCCAUAUGUUCUCCUCGCCUCCAUCCUGCAGUCAACAAUGAGCAUAAGAGUGAGCUAAUGACUCAACACUGGGGUUAGGAUAAUGCAGAGAAAACCAGUGCUGGGCCACUUGCUCAAAAGAGGCAUUAGCAAAAUCAAAACUCUCGAAAGAUUGACGAGAACCACGAGGGGGAAAAUGUAGCCUAUCAUUCCAGUGUGGUGCAGGAGCACGAGUAUAGCCUGUCAUUCCAGUGUGGUGCAGGAGCACGAGUAUGCGAGCGAAAACCAAAAGAACGACCAGCAAGCUUACGACCCAAAACAGGACGAUCAUGAGUACCACGUGCAGGGUACUGCUCACGUCUCUCAGCACGCUUCCGACGGAAGCAAAACUCAUAGAGAUGACCAUCAUGAUCACAAAAUUCACAAUGGUAAUGCUUAUGUGAAGGAGCAAAAGAAACCUUAGCCUUAGAACCAGAAGCAACAAAUUUAGGCUUAGGCAUAGCAGCAUGAACACAUGGAGAAUCAGAUGGCUUAACAUUCUGUGCAACAUUGAAGUGUUUAGGUUUAGGCACCCAAACCUGCUUUUUAGGAACCGAUCUGGAUGGUUCAACUAACAACCCCUCAGAUGUGACACCUGGACCCUCUUUCCUAGGAGGUGGUCCAGUUACUUAGCCAAAGGUGGAUUAAUUUCAUCCACAGGAGGUCCACUCUUUUCACCAAAAACAUGUUUCAAAUCGUAUCCAGGUCCAAAACGCUCAUCCCGUUUAAUUUGAGCAAUAGACAUACCUAUUUGAGGUUCACGAAUAGAGCACCAACCAAGAAUCACUCUCAAAUGUUUAUUUUCUUCUUCCAAAGCAGAAAACUUUACCCUCAAAUCAUUAUUUUCAGCAAAAAAAAGUAGUGCAAGUCAAACAGGGAGGCAAAACAGGACAAGAAUGUUUCUCCAACUCAGUAAUACGAGAUUUAGCAAGAUUCAAUUCAGAUUGCAGGAUUGGACAAGAAACACAAGCACCAAGUAAAGCAGAACCAGAGUGAAGUUUUUCCAACUCAAACUUAGCAUUUUCAAAUUUAUCAACAAUGGAGGCAUACUUAGAUUGCAACUCAGAAAGUGAAACCAUAUGCGCAGAGCACUCUUCACAUUCUACUUCAGCAGGAGUAGCAUCUUUUAAGACUUUUAAUUCAGAAUUGACUCUAUCAUACUCAGCCUUAAGUUUUACUAAAAUUUUAUUUUGUUUAUCAACAAUUUUUGUCAAUUCUUUAAUUUCUUCUUCUGCUGAAUUUUGUACCUCAUUGUCAGAAGAGUUGUCGCUGCGAUCAGAAGCCACAUCGUCAUCCAAGGCCAUGGUGCACAUCCCUCCCUUGAUGUCGGCGAGGAAGCAGAGUCCGUCAGUUUUCUUUUUGGGCAGCUCAUCCUCGGAGUCUGAAUCACUCGAGUUCGAAGAGGCAUCUGAAACAAAAUCACCAAGAGAAGAAAACAAAACAUGUGUAGCCUUUUUUAUUUGUUUAUCAGUGUACUUCUGGCCAUUCUUCUUCAUGCGCCUGUCACCCUUCUUUUUCUUCUUCUCCCUUGAUUGUUCCUGGCGCCUGGAGUUGUUGCCCUGCUCAAAUGUUCUCAUCUUGUUCGGGCAAUCAGCAGCAAAGUGGCCUUGCUCACCACAGCUGAAACAUCCUUCUGAGCGUCUUCUGUUGCGUCGGUUCUCAUAGACUCUCUUGAAUUUGUUGGAGAGCAGCACCAACUGAUCAUCAUCUAGCGCCUCCAACUCAUCAUCUGCAACAUGACAUAAAGAUGACAAAGCAAAGCUGGGAGAAACUGGAUUAGUGUUAAUGUUAGUCUUACUCCCAGAAACCAAAGCCAUAGGAACAUCAGAAGAAGAAACACCAGUGGGAUUUUUCAAUUUGCGCUUGGAGAGGACAUCAAUCUCUUUUGAUUUGAGCUUAUUGAAAAGCUCAUCAGUGGUAAGAGUCUCAUAGCCAGCGGACUCAACGAUCGCCUCUACUUUCAUAUCCCACUCAUCAAUAAGUGAAUGCAACAAUCUGAGAGCCCUUACAAGGUCAUCAUAAGGCAUAUCCUUAUUAAGGGCUCUCAUUUUGUUUACAAUCACUUGAAACCUUGCAAAAAGAUCUUUAAUGGAUUCACCAGGCAAUUGAGAAAAAGCAUCAAACUCUUUUCUGUGAAUUUCGAAUUUUCGUGUUUUCACAGCGUUGGAGCCUUCAUGAUAUUUCUUUAACUUAUCCCAAAUCUGAAAGGCUAGCUCCUCACUGGAAAUACGAUCAUACUCAGGUUUACAAAGAGAAGCUUGCAAAAUAUCAACUACCCGGUUAUUUGCCUCAAGAAGAGCAACAGCAGCAGGAUCAGUAGGGUCCUCUACAGGAAUCACAUAUGUAGAGUUUUGUAUGAUCCUCCACAGAUUCAUCCCCUUCCCCUUUAAAUAAGCUUUCAUACGCGACUGCCAAUAGUCAUAAUCAGUACCAUCAAAAUGCGGAGCGCGUGUAUUGUAUUUUUCGGCGGUCGCCAUGGUUUUCGUAACCGAUUAAGAUAUAGAAAACCUUAACCUGGCUCUGGUACCAAUUGAAGGACUGAAACUAGCGACCAGAGGGGGGGUGAAUGGGAGCCUCACAAAAAUUCGCGGAAGCAAUUUGAGUAAAAUCAGAAUAAAAUUUAUUUGCAAUUUCCAACACAGAUAAAAAGACAGGGGUAAGCAAAAAGCUAAAUCACGUGAUAAAGACCCACUAAACAAAAUAUUAAACAAAAGAGCACAUGGUUGCAAAAAGGUUGUUUACUGUUCCUAGAAAGUGACCUCACCUUCCCUGGUGCAUGCGUGAGUGAUGUUUCUAGAAACAAUAUUAAUGUGUAAUAUUGAAAGUGCUAAUGAGAAGGAAAUUUGCAAAGCAGAGACACGACCUGCAAGUCACCUGCAGGCACAUGCGUGCGCUGUUCGGAAGCAGAACGCUGUUCCUGGCCGGUCACCUCCCUUGUACGGGGCACACACAGUAAAAUCCAGAGACGUGCGCUUCAGUAGAGCAGGCAGCGUACGAACUAAUCGUACGAGCUCAUCGGCGGCUGGCCCUGGUGCGACGCUGCGAGCCGUGGCUGACCGCCAGGAGCAGACCUUGUCCUCCCGCAACGAUGUGUCCCUGAACAGCAAAACGGGAACAACCAAACCGGCGGCGCAAACAACGAAAACAAAGGGAACGGAGGAAAAUCGGAUCUCGCACGAACAAAGAACAAAUCACAAGGACGAAUGAUUAAAGUGUAAUUAUUCUACAAAAGUGCAUCUAGCCUCCGCCCGAUCGUCCUCCCUCUCUUCAUUGGAGAGAUCAACAAAAAUCCCUCGCUAGUAUUGAAUCCCUAGGCUAGACAAAAAGCGAGAAAGCAAGAGAACCCUCUCAACCCUAGGUGCCACAUAUUUAUAUCCUUAGGGUGGCACGACCUAUUUACACAUAACCCCCUACGCUAAAUAAAUCUAACGUAGGGGCGUAAAUUCCAAUUACGUCCUCCAUGGUAAAUUCCGCGAUGUCCGCAAUCCCUCCAUCUCUACGACGUGAUCUUCGCGAUGUCGCCGCACGACCAUCCGAAAUCGUAUCGCGAUCGUCGGAAUUUCCAUCUUGGGCCAACGCCUGUCGCACGGGCGUCCCGAUACGAUGCAUGGCUUUGUGGCUCAACCAGCGAACCCCGGAUUUUGUGGCAUAAUCCGGAAACCUCCCUCGACGUCCUCCCGCCGUGUAGCCAGGUACAGUAGAUGUACACCGCACGAUCGCCUGUCCCUCGAACGCAAGCCUCGAUCCGCCCUUCUCCGCCCCCGCGGUUUUUCAACGUGGUAUCCUAUCUUCGUUCUUCACUCGUCGCCGCAUGUACCUUGUCUCCACCUGUCACCUGCAACCACAACCUACCAAGAGACACGUCACACGCACACCGUGUUAUCAAUCGCUCAUCACCAAGGUGCUAGCCCACCGGCAUCUCAAUCUCCCCCUUGAUGAUUCCAGAUAGCAUUGGUCGCCUAAAAGACACGUCCGUGUUAGGCGUUUACUACACUAGCUUGUCAGGCAUCAUACCUUGAUCACAAGGAAAUCUUACACAGUUGAAAGCUCUCUGUGCGUACGAUAUAGCAACUUGGAGGGUUCAAUUCCAGCAAGCUUGGGGAACUUAAAGAAUCUUUUUAUCCUCGAUCUCGGUUUCAGGUCGAAGCAGAGCAUAAACCUUUCUCAAGACUACGAAGUUACCAUAGAGCAGAUCAGUAUGAGGGCCAGGCUAUACCCUAUCAACACCUCCCCUCUUGCCCUUUCGGUAAGAUUACCUCAAACUAUAGUCUUUAAUUAAUUAGCCAAGACCAGAGCCAUAUAGUUCCAAGUUUAAUCAUUGAGUUUAUUAAAACCAUCAUAACCCAAGGUAUUGCAACUAAGCAUAUCUACCCAACAAACAGGUAAAACCCAGGUUGACAAGGAAUGAUCAUAAAGAUUAGGUAAACCUUAAUAGGACCCAUCAAUAUUAGAUGCAGAGCAAUGCAAAAGUGAUUAAAUAUAGUUAUUGAGAUAAAAGCACAAGGACACACUUGCCUUUCUCCAAAGAAUAGCUGCUCAGAUUAUCUUCAGCUCUUGUUCCUUAAAGCUCUCGAACAACGUUCCUUCUACUUGCAUCAAUCAUCGGCACAAGCAUACAAAGCAAACAACAAUCAUAACUAAGAACAAUACAUCAAUCAUAGUAAAUCUUUAAAAGAGCGUACUAAAGGAUAAGGCUCGAAUCUAAGGUCAUGCUAACACAAGAAACGCUGGGAACGAAACUAUGGUUGAAAAGACAAAGCUAUCGAGAGAUUUGAAUUAUAAAAGAAAGAGAAGCCUAUGUGCUUCAUAUAUUUUAAUAAAGAAAAGAAUGUAAAUAUAUUUUAGAGAAACAUCCUUAGAAGGUUAUAUUUAUAUAUGAAAAGAUGAUGUAGAACUUAGUCAAAUUUUAUUUAUAAAUAUUCAAGUAAACAUUUAAUUUGAAAAUAAAGUAUAUGUAAACAUCAAGGCGCAUAGCUUUAUGAUUCAGGUUGAACUAACCAAAUAUAAUUCAAAAACAUAUUUAUAUUUAUAUUAGUCAAAUUAACAUAUAAUUAUGAAAACCAAAGAUGUAACUUAUGUAGCUUUUAUUUAGAAAACAAAUUGAAUAAACAUUAAUCAAUUUAAGUUUAAUUAUGAACCACCGUGGUGCAUCUCUAAUUCGCUUUUAAUUGAAAGAGUUAUUUAAAUAAGCAUUAAUAACUAAAUUAACAUUUAUUAUGAAAAGCGGUUAUAACACUAAGUAGCUUUUAAUUAAAGAAGACAUGUUUAACAUGCAUUAAUCAGAUUAAUAUUAAAUUUAUUUUAAAACAUGCAUGAUGGAAAGAUCACUACUAACAUGUAAUUUGUGUUAUCAUGAACCUAAGAAUGGAUAUAAACGGAGCUGUAACGAGGAGUCCAUGGGUUAAACAAGGUUGCAGGGCCUAAUCGCGAUUAACGAAAGGUUAUUGGGGCUAGCGAGGAAGAUUUACAAGACAUUGGAAUAGAGCUCACCAUUAGGUCAAAGCAUAGGGUUACAUCUGUUAAAGUGCGCAGGUUGGACUUGGUUGCACGGAUCCAAUAUAAUCAGGGACAUGGAUGAAAAUAAAUAAGACACAAGGAAAAACUAACUAUUUAAAGAGCUUCCAGGGGCCUAUGCACAGAAGCACCAUAGCUCAGCAUCCGGACGGGCUCCUAGACGGCAAAAUCAUCGUGUCAGAUUUAUAAGCCCAGCAAUGCACCAGGGGGUUACCCAAGUGGUUGAUUUGUAGGUGAGGGUGAUUGCGAAACCAAGAACUCAAAGGUGAUCGCGAGAACACGAAGCGACACGAAGGUUUUAGAUAGGUUCGGAUCUCCAGAGAGUAAUAUCCUACGUUCUGUAUGCUGGUGUGUAUUGCUUGAGAUUGAUCUGAUUGUUGGGAUGCCUUAUAAUGAAUCUAAUCUACUCGAUAGUUACAUAGAAAGUAAUAUGAGUUGGACAACAAUACGCGUUCCAUGAUAUUCGGGCAGAUUUGAACUGUCUUGUUGCCUUGACUUACACUCCAAGUAACUUCAUGCCCUUGGCCCGCACGCCCUGGUCGGGCGGGCCCUACUUGUCAGGUCCAUCUAGUAUCCUAGUUGAUGGGGGCUCAUGGGGUACCCAUAUCCCUCAAGCUCCCGAGCGAUGUGUAGGCGAACAGGAACUUGAGGUCAUCACAGCGAAACUUGAAAUGAAGUCGGCUGAAGCUGCGAAGGCGUCAUGGCGACGGAGAGACUGUGCAGUGCUCAAAAGAAGAAAAUUUGAGCAAACACAGAGCCAACGCAUAGAGCAAAGACGAGUGCUGAGUUGAUGGAUGCUGGCAUCUAGCAGGUCGGAGUGAAGGUUAUGGAGGGUGUCGCAAGACGCACUCCGUAGGAGUAGUCCCCAAGCAUUGAAGCGAUUAAGAUAAUCAGUACAAUGGUCAAAGAAGAAAAAAUUGUCUUCUGAAGCAGAUCCUAGUGCCUGAACACAAGGAUGGGCGCAGCCACAGAGGCCCGCCGACCAGAAGUAGGCACCCAGACCCAAGGACGAGGACUGGCAGGACCGCGGAGCCACGGCGACCUGAAAUAGGCACCCAACCCCCAAGAAUGAGGAGUAGCAGAGCUGCGGAGGCAUGCCGACCUGAAGUAGGUGCCCAGCCCCCGAGGACGAGGACUAGCGGAGCCAUGGAGGCAUACCGACUUGAAAUAGGCGCCCAGCCCCUGAGGACAAGGACUGGCAGGGCCACGGAGGCACGCCGAUAACAAUUAGGCGCCCAACCCUGAGCAUGAGUAUGAGGACUGGUGGAAGCACGUCGAGUCGCCUCCCGCCCUGAGCCGAGGCAGAGAGGUAGGCUGGGCGAUGGGAGGCACACCGAGUCAUCUGCGCCCACCAGCCGCCGAGUCUGGGAGCCGGACGAGUCACAGAAGCAUGCCAAGUCACCUCAUGCCCUGAGCCAGAGAGGUCAGCCGGGUGACGGGAGGCACGCCGUGUCGUCUGCGGUGCCCAGCACCCAAGCCUGGGAGCCGGCUGAGCCACAGAAGCACGCCAAGUCGCCUCCCGCCCUGAGCUAGAGAGGUUGGCCGGGUGAUGGGAGGCACGUCGAGUCGUCUGUGGCGCCCAAUCCCUGAACCUGGGAGCCGGACGAGCCACAGAAGCAUGCCAAGUCGCCUCCCGCCCCGAGCCAGAGAGGUUGGCCAGGUGUUGGGAGGCAUGCCGAGUAGUUUUUGAGCUGUAAAAGGACAAUACAAUCAUUAUGUAGCAUAGUGUAGAUCAUUCAAUAAUUUAACAACUCAGAAGUUUAAUUCGAUAUAGAAGUAAACUCUUGCGCAUCCUGCUAUUGUAGGUCAAGUAAUUUCCCAGGUAGUUAGCCUGUUACGUUUAAGCACCUAGCUUUGCUGACCACUGCUCACGGAGAGGACAGCUUAUCUCAGGCUAUAGCGUUGGGGCUGACCCGAUGCUCGCAUAUAGGAGACGCGCAUGAUGAGUCAAGGUUUCACGAAUUAAGGCGUGUGCUACUCGAGUACUUUAGCAACCGUUAAGAGGGACGGACAAGCCACAAAUCAGCCGGAACUCUACGGAAAAGCACCAGCAUGAGCUGGGCACCCAUGGGGUGUAGCCCUCGACCGCCCGUGUAGUGGACGGACCAAGCUGUAUAAGUAGUCGGGGUGCGAUCAAGGUGGUCGGUGAAAGUCACGGAGACAUAGGAGAGCCGAGGUGGUCGGCGAAAGUCACAGGGACAUGUAAGAGCCGAGGCAUAUGUAGGUAUACGGAAGCCGUAAAAUAUUUAAUUGUAAAUAAGACUUACCUUGAUUCAUGAUUGAGUCGGAGAACCCACAUGUCGUCUUCGCGUUUAGGCUUAGAAGCUCCUGAGCGUGGCCGGCGGACAGUUGUUGGUGAAGCAAACUAGUCGGUCUCCAUGCCCAACUAAUUUGUGUCGAGACUGAGUUGUUGGAGUUGUCAGGGACGCAUCUGUGGUUGCGAUCGUGGUAUGCUGCUGCCGAGUCGACGCGGCCGUCGGGUCGUGGUCGGCUGGCCGCCACGCUCGCAGUACAGCGUGCAUGGGUUGUGCUGCCAAACCAAGGGUGCAUGUACAUCUUUCCGAACCUCGUAAGGAAGCCCUCACGUAUUAAGGAAAUAAGAAAAAAAAUUAUUAGCUGCCGUAGUAAGCACCGAGCAACGUAGGAGAUCUACUGGAUAGAAUAGAUUAAAUAAUAAAGGGAAGGGAGAAUUGUUCCUUUUUUUUCCGUGGCAGAUCUGACGUGUCUGCAGGCAACAAGUUGGGGUCCACGUGUCGUGCUAAAUCAACCGGAGGCGUGGUGCUUGGCCUCCUGCGCCUCGCAAAUCUUCUGCAUCUGGAGCAUCCGCUCUAUGACGAGCUCGUACUGGCACUUCUCGUAGGCGUGGCACUCAGGCUCGCACUUCCAGGAGAGGUAGAACUCGGAGGUGCGCGCACUGGUCGUGGCAGGCGAGCAGCACCCGGGACUCCGCCAUCUCCACCUGCGUGAUGAUCUGGGGCUUCAAGGAGCCGAGCUGCACGCCGGCCGCUGCCGCCGCCUCCAUUUGUCACUUUCUUUCCCUCUCUCACCGGCGAGGUCAUUCUGUCGAUAGAUGGGUGCUGCGGGUUUGGUGCGGCGUGGGUAGGUGGGGUGUAGCAAGGACAUGGAGAGAGAUUGCAUACCUACUGGGCAAGCGGCAUGAUGGUCUUGGAUGGAGAACUUGCUCCAUCGGAGUAAAUCUGAUGGAUGCUGAGUUGACGACGGGCGUCGAGUCGAAGUCCACCGGCAUGCUCCCAAAGCGGAGCUGAAUUGGACUGGCGAGGAAUUCCUUCAUGCUCUUGGGGAAAACAAUGCCGGGGUGGGAUGCCAUCGAGCUCGCUGGGGAGGAUCUCAUAAUCACCUGUACCUGGCGUCCCAAUUGUCGGAUUUAUAAGCCCAGCAAUCCACCAGGGGGUUACCCAAGUGGUUGAUUUGUAGGUGAGAACGAUUGCGAAACCAAAAACUCAAAGGUGAUCGCGAGAACACAAAGGGACAUGAAGGUUUUAGACAGUUUCGGACCUCCGGAAAGUAAUACCCUACAUCCUGUAUGCUGGUUUGUAUUGUUUAAGAUUGAUCUGAUUGUUGGGAUACCCUCGGGGGUGCCCUUGGCCACUUUGUAUAGGCUAACGACCAAGAGGUGCAAGUUGGUUUGGAUCUAAUCUACUCGGUAGUUAAAUGGAAAGUAAUCUGAGUCGGACUACAAUACGCGUUCCAUGAUAUCCGGGCAGAUUUGAACUGUCUUGUUGCCUCGUCGUGCACUCCAAGUAACUUCAUAUCCUCGACCUGCACACCCUGAUCGGGCGGGUCCUACUUGUCAGGUCUGACCAGUAUGCUGGGGUACCCAUAUCCCUCACCUUGGUGCUCCGACAGUUAGGGUCGGCGGCAAGGAUGGGGAUUGGAAGCGGAGAUCGAGGGAACUUUAUGGAGAUGCUCACCGUUCCAUCCGGAAUUUGGCUAGCGGCGGAAGAACAUGGCAGCUAGCUCGGGUCUUUGCAAGUGACGGUACUUCAGUGGUGGAGCGGCAACGAAGAUUGGUGGCAGAGCUGCUCCUCGACGUCACGAAGCUCCCUGAGGCUCCAACUUGCUCCGAUAGUUGACGGGCACAGCGAAUCGGCCAGAGAAGGCCGGCGGCGGCUCUUGGCUUUGGCGGAUGUGGGGUAUGGCGGUGCUCUCGCAAGUUGGGAAGAGCGGCGGAGUGUGGCAGGGCAGCACCAGAGGCACUAUCUCGACUUUAUAGGCACGUGGGUCCACGCCUGCCUUGGCGCACACGCUGAGGUUCGGCGGUGGCGAUGCCUCAAGCUGCCGGUGGCCGAUGGGCCUAGCGGGCUUGGCUGAGCCAUCAGCUGGGCCGGGUCGGUGCGGGUUGGAUGGAGAGGUUCGGGCCCCAAAGGCUUGGCCCGAUCGAUUAGGAUUUUCCUUUUUUUCAGAAAUGAUUUCUCGUGAAUGAAAAAUCUAGAAAAAUUCUAGAUAAUUCAUUUAAACAACAAAAAAACUCUAAAAAUCCAAAAAUUCUAGGAAAAAUCCUAGAGAUAGUUUGGGGGGGGGGACAGGAGGAGUCCAAAUAAAAUACUUGGAGGGCGUGAAAAGGAUUCUAGAGCCUUUCAAAAAUUGGAUUUAGCUGUGGAAAAAAAUGAGAAUAAAUCUUAGAAAAAUAUGGAAAUUCUCAUAAGAACCUAAUUGGCAUCUAAACGUAUUUCAAAACCUUUGCACUCAUGAAAUACCAAGAUGCAUCGGCAUAAAUGCAACACAUACACAGAACCAUUGUAUUUAAUUCAGAAAACACAAUCUUUUUCCUAUACUAAAUUUCCUGUCAAGAAAAUAAAUAUUGGAAAAUUUUAAAAUUAUGAGAAAAUCAUUGUUUAAUUAUUCUUUUUAAUCACAUCCUGAAAUUUCAAAAAAUUUAGGGUCCAAAAUUCUUUUUACGGAAUUUGACAUUCAUGUCCAAAUUGGAUCUAUCCUUCAAUGAUCUGCAAAGUGAAGUGCCUAAAGGGUUUUUCUUGCAAAUGCAACUUACAUGUCGAUUUAUGGAAAUGAUCAGCUUUGUGGUCGAAUACCUCAACUUCAUUUAGCCCCAUGCUCCAUGUCUAGUGCAAAAAAGAAAUAAAGAAAUUUGUCGAAAACCCUUGUGAUCACCCUAACAUCAAUCAAUGCAGUUGUAUUCUCAGUUUCAGUACUUGAUGUAAUUGUGUUGAUCCGUAAGAAGCUUAGGAAGAGGCAUGAAAGUCAACUCAUAUCCACAACUGAGGAACUGUAUGAAAGAGUUUCUUAUCAUGCUUUGUCAAAUGGGACCAAUGGAUUUUCAGAGGACAAUUUACUUGGACAAGGAAGCUAUGGCAUGGUUUUAUAAAUGUACUUUACAUGACCAGGGCACUACAGUAGCUGUAAAGGUGUUUAACACACAACAAUCUGGGACUUCUAGAAGUUUUGUCACUGAAUGUGAGGCACUCAGAAGGGUGCGUCACCGUUGUCUCGUAAAGAUCAUCACUUGUUGCUCAAGCAUCAAUCACCAGGGUCAAGAGUUCAAGGCACUAGUUUUUAAGCUCAUGCCAAAUGGUAGCCUAAAUGGUUGGCUUCACCCAGAGUCUGACACACUUACCCAGACAAAUACUCUUAGCCUUGAACAAAGGCUACACAUUGCUGUCGAUAUCAUGGAUGCUUUGGACUAUCUUCAUAAUCACUGUCAGCCAUCAAUCAUUCAUUGCGAUCUCAAGCCAAGCAACAUCUUUCUUGCGGAAGACAUGAGUGAGUGCCCGAGUUGGAGGUUUUGGCAUAUCAAGAAUCCUUCCAGAAAGUGCUAAUAAAACCCUGCAAAAUUGGAAUAGCGCAACUGGAAUAAGAGGCACCAUUGGUUAUGUUGCACCAGGUAAUGAAAGAGAUGUUUUUGGUAUUUGUAAAAUGUUCUUAGUUCUUACGUAUACAAGACCUGCUGACCUUUGUUUUUUUUCCCAAUCAGAGUAUGGUGAAGGUUCUUCUGUCUCAACUCAAGGUGACGUUUAUAGCCUCGGCAUAUUGCUGCUUGAGAUGUUUACUGGAAGGAGCCCAACGGAUGAGAUAUUCAAUGAUUCUUUGCAUUUGCACAAGUUUUCAGAGAAUGCUCUUCCAGAGAGAAUAUGGGAUAUAGUUGACAAUAUGGAUGCACACAGAUGCCUAUAACAGCACUAUAAGAAGUGGAAUUAAGAAUUGCUUGCUUUCUGUCGUUUCUCUUGGAAUAUCAUGCUGGAAGAAACAACCUAGGGAGCGGAUCCCGAUUCAGGAUGCAGCCAUUGAGAUGCACUCUAUUAGAGAUUCGUAUCUCAAGUUUGCCAGGUCUCUUUUGGUGGAGCAUGGAGUAGUAGCAACAACUCACAGUGAUUUCCCACAACAGUGAAUAUACAUAGGACUGAAAAUGGGCAAGAUGUCUGCAGGUGAUCAGUUUACCUGAAAUAACUGAAGAUGUAUGAAGCUUCAGCUUUAUAAUUCGUCCAUGCAUUUGUUUGCAUCAGAUAUAUGGAAGUAUAAAAUAAGUUUAGAAAAUGUUUCAAAAUAGAUUAGAUCCAGAGGUUUUACUUGUCGUCUGUAUGACACAUUUUUUGUAGAGAAUUCAGUAAUAUGUAUGAUUCAUAAUACAAUCCGUGCUCUGCAAAUUUCAGAUAGCACNNNNNNNNNNNNNNNNNNNNNNNNNNNNNNNNNNNNNNNNNNNNNNNNNNNNNNNNNNNNNNNNNNNNNNNNNNNNNNNNNNNNNNNNNNNNNNNNNNNNGAGAGAGACUAGUGUUCAGUUGGUUGGAAGGAUGAGAGAGAGAGGAGAGUUUGGAUGAUAGAGAGGUUAGUGUUCACCUGGUUGGAAGGAUGAGAGGGAGAUGAGAGAGUUCGGAUGAGGAGGUGGAGAGUUCGAAAGAGAGAGAGGUGAGAGUUUGGAUGAGAGAGAAAGCAGCUUAGAAGGAUGAGAGUGAGAAAGCGGUAUUCAGCUGGAUGGUGGAGACUUCAUAUAUUACUAACUAGCAAGGUGUCCGUGCGUUGCUACGGAGAAAUGACGUUGCUUAGCGCGUAAUGUUUUUUAUCGUGUCGUGUAGCGGACCAUAUUUUUUAUCAUGUUGUGUAACUUUUUUAUUUUAGUUGUAUUAGACUGGCCACUUGAGUGUGUCCAUAUCCCUACCGUGCGGAGACCGCUUGCCAUCGAACUUGUUAUCUCUUUCUCUAUCUUGAGAUUGGUAGGCUUCUACAGCAAUUCUGCACAAAGAAGGCCCCACUUCGCCCCGAUCCCGUUAGUCCCGCGCCUACCCUCUCCCUCUCCGAUCCUUGCCACCAGCUCCUCCUGGUCCAGGUUGGGCCCGUGAUGUAGCGGCCUGUUAUCCUUCCACCGUUGGAAGCGAGCAGUGAUCGCUGCUCUGUGAACCCAACCUCACGCCGUUCCUACCACUUCAGGUCCAAUGAAGCCUGAGCUUUCGCUUGGGCCAAACAGGCCACUACCAACUUGGAACGAGCAGGGCCAGCAAAGGCACACAAUAGAUCCAAGCCCAGAGCCCAGAUACUUACAUUGACAAAGUGUUGAAGCGGUUCAGCAUGGAAGAGGCAAAGAAAGGGUUCUUGCCUAUGUCACAUGGCAUACAUCUCAGCAAGACUCAGUGUCCUUCGACUGCUGAUGAGCGGGAUCGCAUGAGUAGAGUGCCAUAUGCCUCGGCUAUUGGAUCUAUCAUGUAUGCAAUGAUAAGUACUCGCCCAGAUGUUUCAUAUGCGCUAAGUAUGACAAGUAGACACCAAUCUGAUCCAGGUGAGAGUCACUGGACAGCGGCGAAAAACAUUCUUAAGUACUUGAGAAGGACUAAAGAUAUGUUCCUCGUCUAUGGAGGUGAGGAGGAGCUCGUUGUAACAGGUUACACCGAUGCUAGUUUCCAAACCGACAGAGAUGAUUCAAAGUCACAAUCAGGAUUUGUCUUCACGCUAAAUGGUGGUGCUGUUAGUUGGAAGAGUUCCAAGCAGGAGACGGUGGCCGAUUCUACGACAGAAGCCGAGUACAUCGCGGCUUCGGAAGCCGCGAAGGAAGGUGUUUGGAUAAGGAAUUUCCUCAUUGAGCUUGGUGUGUUCCCGAAUGCGUCCAGCCCAUUGAAUCUCUACUGUGAUAACAAUGGGGCAAUUGCGCAAGCAAAGGAGCCAAGGAACCACCAGAAGAACAAACACGUAAUGCGGCGAUUUCAUCUCAUUCGAGACUUCGUUAACCGGGGUGAGAUCAAGAUAUGCAAAAUACACACGGAUCUGAACAUUUCUGAUCCGUUGACAAAACCACUCCCGCAGGCUAAGCAUGAUGCGCAUGUAAGAGCUAUGGGUAUUAGGUACCUUCUAGAUUGACUCUAGUGCAAGUGGGAGACUGUUGGAGGUAUGCCCUAGAGGCAAUCAUAGAGAUGAUGAUAUUCCAUUUGUAUCCAUGAUUUGUAUAUUGUGUUCAUUGAAUAUCCAUUAAAGGCUACUUGAAUUGAUUGCAAUUAUGUGAAUUGUAUGUGAAACUCUUUACUUGUAUGGUUAUUCUAAAGUUGUCCCUAGUCGGAGUUCAUGUAAGGACACACAUGAAUAUAAGACUAGCACAUGUAUUAGUUGAUGACUAUGUUUCACAAGUCAUGGACAUGGAGAUGUUGAACUAAUAAUGUGGACACAUGUGGAGACAUGUGUUAGGACUGACCCAACACGAGAAGUAGUUCUCUCUUUAAACAACAUAUACGCUUUGUCCUUAGACCUGAGAUUGUCGCAUGUAUUCUAGAUGUGGAUCGACCUACUUAGGGGCUAUCAAACGCUACACCGUAACAGGGUAGUUAUAAAGGUAGCUUUCGGGUUUGUCAAGAAGCAUGCUAUGAGACAUGGUCAAUCAAGAUGGGAUUUGCCCCUCUCUGAUUGAGAGUGAUAUCUCUGGGCCCCUCGAGUGAUCGGAUCCGAAAAUGCAUGGCCAUGCUACGUACGGUUAAGAGUUAACCUACAAAGGGAUUCCGAAUCAUAGGAUCGAGAAAGAGUGGUCGGCUUGAAGCUAGACCAAAUAUCGUGAGGCAAAGGGAAUAGCAUGUAUAUCAUGUUGUGAUGGUUCGUCUGAUAUGAUCUUCGUAUACGUAUAGGAGUUGGCACGUCUUGCUAGAGGCCGCUACCGACUAUUGGACCGAGUAGGAGUACUCGGGCCAUGUCUAUACGUAUCCGAACCCAUAGGGUCACACACUUAAGGGGCUGGAAGCCCAAUUCGGAUCUGAUCCGAGUUGGAUUAGGUUUAGGAGUACUAAUGGGCCUCGGAUCCAGAGGCCCGUCAGGAACCCCUAUAAAUAGAGGGGUGGGGGCGCCCUAGGGUUUACACCUUUUGGCGAAACACUUCUGCCGCGCCUCCCACGCCCUCGCCUGUUGCAACUCGCGGAUCUAGCAAUCCGGCUUGCGACGCUUCCUCCCUGCACGUGUGGAUACCUUGGAGGUGUUGCGCCUGCAGCACUUGGACGAGCCAUCGACGAGCCGCCGACGAGCCACGACGAGCCGACGACGAGCCGCGGCACCGGAGGCGAUCUUGCUGUGCACGUGGACGAGCUUGCUGUGCACGUGGACGAGCUGCUGAGGAGCUGCUGGACGUGAUCGACUACGUACGACUACGUGAUCAUCUUCACUGCACCGACGCAUAUCUACAUCUUCCGCACCAGUAGUGCGUCGAGUGGUAAUCCCGUAAUCCUUAUACGGCAGCUCUUCCUGGUUAUACGCGGUAGAAAAUUUUGUUUUGCGCUAGCGUAGCCUACCUCGUAUCCCAACAGUGGUAUCAGAGCCGUAGCUGCUUAGUUUUGGAUUCGGGAUGUGUGCAUAUGGAGAUAUGCGAGUUCUCUGUUUGAUCUAUGUCCUGAUUUCGUGCCCUUGCUGCAAUGGUAGUGUAACGACAUACUCCUACCGGUCGGUUUCCGCCAUCGGAGUUAAGUGAUACACGUAAAUCCAGUUGCAGUGAGGGAAGAUCAAUAUGAUUGGUCAAAUCGAGAUCCAGGGUCAUACGCCAGGCGCAUUAGAUGUGCAAUAGUAGAUGUGAUCUACUGCCGGGGUCGGGAUUUUGCCGUAUGCGCAUGCUUCGGUAAAUCAGCCGUAACUUUUUGGUACGAUCUCGGAUCGGGGCGAUUUCUAUACGAAAAUUGAUCUACAGAAAAAGUUACACAUGAAUUUCAACGGCUUCGCCGUUUUCGGCGAAAUUAGAUUUGCCAAAUUCGGCUUGGAAGAUGGAGUUUCGGGCCUCCCAAGUUUGGAACGUUAGGACGCCUAACUCUCUUUUGCAGGAUGUAUGUAUAUAUCUUGUGAUCAGUAUGGCCCCCUUAUGUAUGUGAUGCAUGUGUGUAACUUAUUCGUGACCUGCGUGUCACGCGUACGGCAACACGGCAGGAGCCAUAUGUGUUGUCACUUUAAUGUAUUUAAUGGUCUGCGUACCAAUCUGUGAUGAUCCAAGCAACUGUGUAAUCUUCAUUACUAGAUUCUUUACUAGCUAUUAGGCGUAAUAGCAUAGUUCUUGGAGGACUCAUCACCAGGAGGAUGGCGCACAUGGAACAUGGAGAUGGAGAUCACCAUGGUGAACAGGUUCUAUGGAGAUGGAGAUCACCAUAUGAAAAACGGGCCAUACUGUGUCACAACUGUGUGAAUGCUAUUCUGUUUAUGUUUUACUUUCUGCAUGCUGUGAUGUUAGAAGUAGAACGAUCCCUCACAAAGUUUAAGUUAGUAUGCCCUCCCAACUAAAACUUGCACCGUCCCAUGUCUUGUACAAUUAGUGGUGGGUCUAUGAAAUUAGGGUGCCACUAGUUUUCCUUGACUAGACGGGUUUGUGUCGGACACUUACACGCAUAAGGGUUGGUUAGCUUAACGAGGUCAUCUUAACGGUUAAGGACCUUGGGGCAUAAAGGUUGGGCGCCGAGACAUAGAGAUGUCACCCAACAACAGGAGUCAUAUGCGAUAUGAUUAGCAAAAGUUGCUUACCGAUCUACCUCGUUUGCUAGCGGUGAUGCUAAAGCUCACUAGUAGACUUGUUAGUUGUGGAUCCUGAAUCACUAAGUUUCAAUAGAGGGAUAUUGAUUUUAGUGGGAGUAGAUUCUGUUAAAAUAGUUUUUGCUCUAUCAUGGAUACGUUUGUCUUAGUGUAUUUUGCAUUACUUUUGUUGUAGAUUAAAUGGCACCUAGCAACACCACCGCAUCGUUUGCUUUGCGUUCGGUCCUUGAGAAGGACAAGUUGAAUGGAACAAACUACUCGGAUUGGAUCCGUAACCUGAGAAUUGUUCUCAGGGAUGAGAAAAAGGAAGAUGUUCUAGACACCCCACUACCACCAGUACCUGUUGAUGAUGCAUCUGCUGCCGUUAAGGCUGCUUACAAGAAGGCAUUUGAUGCUAAUCUUGAGGUAAGCUGCCUUAUGCUUGCUUGCAUGGAACCCGAGCUGCAGAUGCAGUUCGAAACAAAUCAUGAGGCUUACGAUAUGAUCGUGGCGCUCAAGGACAUGUUCCAGACACAGGCUAGGACCGAAAGGUUCAAUGUGUCCAAAGCCUUUCUGGAGUGCAAGUUAGCAGAAGGCGCAGCAGUAGGACCACAUGUAAUCAAGAUGGUUGGUUACACUCAGCGAUUGGAGAAGCUGGGCUUCCCAAUGGGCAAAGAGUUGGCCACUGACUUCAUUCUCUCAUCUCUUCCGCCUAGCUAUGGGAACUUCAUCUCGAACUACCAUAUGCAUGGGACGGAGAAGGGUCUGAAUGAGCUGUGUGGUAUGCUCAAGACAGCAGAGGUAGACAUUAAGAAAAGCGCUAGUACCAGCCAUGUGAUGGCUGUACAGAACAAGCCUACUUUUAAGAAGAAGGGCAAUUCUUGGAAGAAGAAGGGCAAGGCUGGAACGUCCAAGCCAAACCCACCGCCCAAGGCUAAAGCUGGACCUGCUCCAGAUAAAGAGUGCUUUUACUGUCAUGAACUUGGUCACUGGAAGAGAAACUGCAAGCAGUACCUAGCUUCGUUGAAGAACGGCGGAAGUAAGAGUACUUCUACCUCAGGUACGCUUGUUGUUUAUGUUAUAGACAACAUAUUUCUCGCUGAUACAGUUAUUAAUUCUUGGGUAUUUGAUACCGGAUCGGUUGCUCAUAUUUGCAAUUCGAUGCAGGGAAUGAUAAGAAGUAGAAGCGUGGAAAGAGGAGAAGUUGAUUUCCGCGUGGGCAAUAAUGCAAGAGUUGCUGCUUUGACCGUCGGGACGAUGCAACUCCACCUCCCGUCAGGAUUUAUUAUGGAGUUGAAUAAUUGUUAUUUUGUUCCUAGUUUAAGUCGAAACAUUUUGUCUCCUUCAUGUUUGAUGAGGGAUGGUUAUUCAUUUGCGAGUGAAAAAAAUGGUUGUGUGAAAAAAUGAUCUCUAAGAAUAAUAUGUUUAUGGCUUUUGCACCCAUUGUGAAUGGAUUAUUUGUUUUAAAUCUUGAUGGUUCACCUGUCUGUAAUGUAAGUGCUAAAAGGCCUCGGCCUAAUGAUUUGAGUCCUACCUACUUGUGGCAUUGUCGUUUGGGUCAUAUAAGUGAAAAGCGCAUGAAGAAGCUCCAUUCUGAUGGACUUCUAACUUCGUUUGAUUUUGAAUCAUACGAGACAUGUGAGGCUUGCUUGCUAGGCAAGAUGACCAAGACGCCUUUCACAGGAUUUCCUGAGAGAGCAGUAGACUUGUUGGAACUCGUACAUAGUGAUGUAUGCGGACCAAUGAGCACGACGGCUAGAGGAGGAUUCCAAUACUUCAUAACUUUUACUGAUGAUUUUAGUAGAUAUGGCUAUGUCUACUUAAUGAGGCACAAGUCUGAAACCUUUGAAAAGUUCAAGGAAUUUCAGAAUGAAGUUGAAAAUCAGCGUGGCAAGAAAAUUAAGGCCUUACGAUCUGAUCGUGGAGGCGAGUAUUUGAACCACGAGUUUAGCAAUCAUCUAAAGAGUUGCGGAAUUGUUCCACAACUUACGCCGCCUGGAACACCUCAGAGAAACGGUGUGUCCGAGCGACGUAAUCGAACUUUGUUAGACAUGGUUCGAUCAAUGAUGAGCCAGUCGGACCUACCGUUGUCAUUUUGGGGAUACGCUCUAGAAACAGCAGCUUUCACACUUAAUAGGGUACCAUCUAAAUCCGUAGUUAAGACGCCAUAUGAGAUGUGGACUGGAAAGGUUCCUAGUUUGUCUUUUCUAAAGAUUUGGGGAUGUGAAGUGUUUGUCAAGCGACUUCAGUCGGACAAGAUCACACCCAAGUCGGAUAAGUGCAUUUUCGUGGGAUAUCCAAAGGAAACUUUGGGAUAUUAUUUCUACAACCGAUCAGAAGGCAAAGUGUUUGUCGCUCGGAACGGGGUUUUCCUAGAGAAAGAGUUUCUCAAAGGAGAAAAGAGUGGAAAAACAGUGCAUCUUGAAGAAGUUCAAGAUGAGCCAAUCGGGCAAGAAUCAAUGAGUGAUGCUAACGUAGCAGAACAAGUUGAGAUACCCAUGGCAAGAGAAGCACCGCCACAACCACGAAGGUCGGCAAGGCUCCGCGAAAUGCGGGAAAUAUUAUUGUUGGACAAUGAUGAGCCUGCGACAUAUGCAGAAGCAAUGAUGGACCAAGACUCCGAAAAAUGGCAGAGUGCCAUGCAAUCCGAAAUAGAGUCCAUGGGAGACAAUCAAGUUUGGAACUUGGUUGACCCGCCUGAUGGUGUUAAGGCCAUAGAGUGCAAGUGGAUCUAUAAGAAGAAAAAGGACAUGGAUGGAAAUGUUCACAUCUAUAAAGCACGACUUGUCGCAAAAGGUUUUCGACAAGUUCAAGGAGUUGACUACGAUGAGACCUUCUCGCCCGUAGUGAUGCUUAAGUCCAUUCGGAUUAUUCUAGCUAUAGCUGCAUAUUUCGAUUAUGAGAUAUGGCAGAUGGAUGUCAAGACAGCUUUCCUGAAUGGAAACCUAGCUGAGGACGUGUAUAUGAUACAGCCCGAGGGUUUUGUCGAUCCGAAAAAUGCUGGAAAGGUAUGCAAGCUUCAGAGAUCCAUUUAUGGAUUGAAGCAAGCAUCUAGGAGUUGGAACAUUCGUUUUGAUGAAGUGGUCAAAGGGUUUGACUUCACCAAGAACGAAGAAGAGUCUUGUGUUUACAAGAAGGUUAGUGGGAGCUCUGUAGUAUUUCUAAUCUUAUAUGUGGAUGACAUAUUACUGAUUGGAAAUAACAUUCCUAUGCUUGAGUCCGUAAAGACUUCACUGAAAAAUAGUUUUUCGAUGAAGGACUUAGGGGAAGCGGCAUAUAUUCUGGAUAUUAAGAUCUAUAGAGAUAGAUCGAGAAGGCUUAUAGGUUUAAGCCAAGAUACUUACAUUGACAAAGUGUUGAAGCGGUUCAGCAUGGAAGAGGCAAAGAAAGGGUUCGUGCCUAUGUCACAUGGCAUACAUCUCAGCAAGACUCAGUGUCCUUCGACUGCUGAUGAGCGGGAUCGCAUGAGUAGAGUGCCAUAUGCCUCGGCUAUUGGAUCUAUCAUGUAUGCAAUGAUAAGUACUCGCCCAGAUGUUUCAUAUGCGCUAAGUAUGACAAGUAGACACCAAUCUGAUCCAGGUGAGAGUCACUGGACAGCGGUAAAAAACAUUCUUAAGUACUUGAGAAGGACUAAAGAUAUGUUCCUCGUCUAUGGAGGUCAGGAGGAGCUCGUUGUAACAGGUUACACCGAUGCUAGUUUCCAAACCGACAGAGAUGAUUCAAAGUCACAAUCAGGAUUUGUGUUCACGCUAAAUGGUGGUGCUGUUAGUUGGAAGAGUUCCAAGCAGGAGACGGUGGCCGAUUCUACGACAGAAGCCGAGUACAUCGCGGCUUCGGAAGCCGCGAAGGAAGGUGUUUGGAUAAGGAAUUUCCUCAUUGAGCUUGGUGUGUUCCCGAAUGCAUCCAGCCCAUUGAAUCUCUACUGUGAUAAUAAUGGGGUAAUUGCGCAAGCAAAGGAGCCAAGGAACCACCAGAAGAACAAACACGUAACGCGGCGAUUUCAUCUCAUUCGAGACUUCGUUAACCGGGGUGAGAUCAAGAUAUGCAAAAUAAACACAGAUCUAAAUAUUUCUAAUCCGUUGACAAAACCACUCCCGCAGGCUAAGCAUGAUGCGCAUGUAAGAGCUAUGGGUAUUAGGUACCUUCUAGAUUGACUCUAGUGCAAGUGGGAGACUGUUGGAGGUAUGCCCUAGAGGCAAUCAUAGAGAUGAUGAUAUUCCAUUUGUAUCCAUGAUUUGUAUAUUGUGUUCAUUGAAUAUCCAUUAAAGGCUACUUGAAUUGAUUGCAAUUAUGUGAAUUGUAUGUGAAACUCUUUACUUGUAUGGUUAUUCUAAAGUUGUCCCUAGUCGGAGUUCAUGUAAGGACACACAUGAAUAUAAGACUAGCACAUGUAUUAGUUGAUGACUAUGUUUCACAAGUCAUGGACAUGGAGAUGUUGAACUAAUAAUGUGGACACAUGUGGAGACAUGUGUUAGGACUGACCCAACAUGAGAAGUAGUUCUCUCUUUAAACAACAUAUACGCUUUGUCCUUAGACCUGAGAUUGUCGCAUGUAUUCUAGAUGUGGAUCGACCUACUUAGGGGCUAUCAAACGCUACACCGUAACAGGGUAGUUAUAAAGGUAGCUUUCGGGUUUGUCAAGAAGCAUGCUAUGAGACAUGGUCAAUCAAGAUGGGAUUUGCCCCUCUCUGAUUGAGAGUGAUAUCUCUGGGCCCCUCGAGUGAUCGGAUCCGAAAAUGCAUGGCCAUGCUACGUAUGGUUAAGAGUUAACCUACAAAGGGAUUCCGAAUCACAGGAUCAAGAAAGAGUGGUCGGCUUGAAGCUAGACCAAAUAUUGUGAGGCAAAGGGAAUAGCAUGUAUAUCAUGUUGUGAUGGUUCGUCUGAUAUGAUCUUCGUAUACGUAUAGGAGUUGGCACGUCUUGCUAGAGGCCGCUACCGACUAUUGGGCCGAGUAGGAGUACUCGGGCCAUGUCUAUACGUAUCCGAACCCAUAGGGUCACACACUUAAGGGGCUGGAAGCCCAAUUCGGAUCUGAUCCGAGUUGGAUUAGGUUUAGGAGUACUAAUGGGCCUCGGAUCCAGAGGCCCGUCAGGAACCCCUAUAAAUAGAGGGGUGGGGGCGCCCUAGGGUUUACACCUUUUGGCGAAACACUUCUGCCGCGCCUCCCACGCCCUCGCCUGUUGCAACUCGCGGAUCUAGCAAUCCGGCUUGCGACGCUUCCUCCCUGCACGUGUGGAUACCUUGGAGGUGUUGCGCCUGCAGCACUUGGACGAGCCAUCGACGAGCCACCGACGAGCCACGACGAGCCGACGACGAGCCGCGGCACCGGAGGCGAUCUUGCUGUGCACGUGGACGAGCUGCUGAGGAGCUGCUGGACGUGAUCGACUACGUACGACUACGUUGAUCGACUACGUACGACUACGUGAUCGUCUUCACUGCACCGACGCAUAUCUACAUCUUCCGCACCAGUAGUGCGUCGAGUGGUAAUCCCGUAAUCCUUAUACGGCAGCUCUUCCUGGUUAUACGCGGUAGAAAAUUUUGUUUUGCGCUAGCGUAGCCUACCUCGUAUCCCAACAGCGCACCAGGCAGCACGGGCGGCCGGGGCCGGGGAGGCGACUCUGGCGUGGCCGGCUAUGGUGGGCAGGGAGAGGCAGAUGGUGGCGCAACGGCGGCAUGGAGAGACGGACGUCGGGCACGGACGGGUGAAAGGGGAGAUGGGGAAAGAAAGCUGGUCCCACCUGCCAAUGCAGCCGGGGUCGGGGUGGGGCGGGCAGCGAGGCCGAGGCCGGGCGGCACGACCGGGGCCAGGGAGGUGGCUCUGGCGUGGCCGGCUGUGGUGGGCGGGGAGACUCGGACAGCGGCGCAACGGCGGCACGAAGAGGUGGACGUCGGGCACGGACGGGUGAAAGGGGAGACGGGGAAAGAAAACUAGACCCACCUGUCAAUGCGUUAAUCUUACCUAUUAUUAAACAUCAGGGCGACCUCUCGUUGAAAAAAAAAAAUGGGCACAAGUGUUCCUCACUUUAAUAAUAAUAAUAAAGUAUAGAUAAUGUAUCAAAUAGCAUUUGUAAUUUAAUUCUAAGAAAAACUUUCUCAGUACCAAACAAGAAAAUUCAAUUGAAUCAAAUUCUACGGAAUCCAUUUCUUAUGGAAUCUAAUUGCUAGAAUAUGAUUCAUGGAAUAAGUUUCAACUCUAGGGAUCCAAACAUACCCGUAGUUAUUUCUUAUGCAGCUCAAAUCAGACGCAAGGUACGUCCUAACUAAAAGACGUAAGUUACUUUAUGUUAUCUUGUGAAUCAGUGAUUAAUUACUUCCAAUCUUAUGUAAAAAGAACUACGAGUUAAAUUCUUUGUCAGAUUUAUACUGACAAGUUACAAGCACAUGCCUCUGCAGUAACAGGCGAGCCCUAGACUAGUGGGCAAACCAAAAACAACAUGGUUCGUCAACUGAUCGAAUGCUAAUGACUAUUUUGCUAGGAGAAUGAACAUGAUUCAUACAAAAAAGGGGAGUUAGUAAAAGGGGAGCUACUAACUUGGUCAAGGUCUCCGUCCUCUGGCGUGGGGAAGGGGCCAUCUUGCUCCACUCCACGUCUGCGUGGUUGCUCGGCGGGCGCGACGGCGUCGGGUGCGGAGUGCUGACGGCGCGUAGAUAUGUCAUUGUUGAUCAGGACAUGCACUUCUAUCACCAUCUGUGGUUGGCGUCCGCGGCCGAGCGGGUCAAGGUCUCCGUCCUCUAGCGUGGGGAAACAGGAUCUCUUCAAUCAGUGCUUCUACAGAAACGGUGCACGGUCACCACGGACCAACGACAUACCAUGAGAAAAGCAGAGCUAAAUGUUGCAGUAGCAGAGUAACCGGAGACUGCAGAGCACUUGCUGCUAAAAGCUGCCUCUUAUUUUGUAUCGUCUUAACAGAAGACUUUAAGUCAGCCGCCAUUCGAUUCGAAUAUAAACUAGCAAGUUGGCCCGCGAUAAUAGCGCGGCUAGAUUUGAUACAUGUGCAUAUGCACGCCUAAUUAAAAUUGCUCACUUGUAACAAAAUAAUAACAACUUGAGUAGUUGAUUAUGAUCUUAUGUUGCAGUUUUUGCCAACUUUUCCUAGUAUUAUUGUGUUGAGUAGAAAGCCUGUGUAGAAAAAGAUACAAAACAAACAAUAGUGUCAACUACUCUCCAUGCUUGCUCAAAUGAUUUUGAAAAAAAAAAACAACCGCGCUCUAAGUCCUAGGGCGGUGAUAUUCCUCCUUACUUUCCUCCUCUCGUUUUCCUUGCACAAUCCAGGAUGACAAAUACCACAAACCACUUAGGCUCGAUCAUGUUUCAUCAUCACAUUCCUCAAAUCUUGAUCACGUUGUUGUCUUCGUUAUGCUAGCAGUACACAUCUCUCCGCCUCAUAAGAUUACUAAGGUCUCAUAAGAUUUUUGAUGGAUUUGCAUUAAUAUUAAUAUUGCCACCAAUCUAGUCUCAACCUUGCUUGUGUUCUCCAUGGUCAUGUUUUAUUCAAACUUGCAAGACCUACAAGCGCAUAUGAUGGUUCUUCUAUAUACAUAAUAUAUCGCAUCUCCUAAGACAUAUAUCGCGGGCCGGCGGCGCGCGGGGGAGCGGCGCCGGUGGAGCGGAGGCGACCGGCGGUGGGCGGAGGCGGGUGGGUGCGGGCGCAGGCGGAGGUGGGUGGGCAUGCGGGGGAGCGGCGCCGGCGGAGCGGAGGCGGGUGGGCGCGGGCAUAGGCGGAGGCGGAGGCCGGCGCGGGCGCGUGCGGAGGCGGACGGGUGGAGGCGUGCAGCGGCGGGCGGGCACGGGCGAGUGGCGGCUGGGCCGGCGGCGGCCUCGCGGCACGGGUGGAGGCGGAGACCAGCAACGGCCGGGCAGCCCUCCGGCGAGCGUGGGGCUUUUUUUUUAUUUUUUUCAAAAUUUUUUAGUCCCGGUUGGUAGUUGGUAACACCAAUUGGUACUAAAGGGGGCCUUUAGUUCCGGGUGGAUUACCCGGGACUAAAGACCCCCUCUUUUGUCUUGAAAAAUUUAUCCCGGAUAGCUUAGAGAGAUUUGAGCCUAUCCAACCGGGACUAAAGGUGAGUUUUCCAUCGGUGAAUGUCAGAGGAGGCUCAUCCUAAAUGGUGACACCAUGCUGAUCAUGCAAUUUAUCAUUAUUUUAUCGCCCUCAUGCAUGCUGCAUGAUAGAUAUUGGUACUGGGCAGCUUAGAUUCCUCAGCGCAUCAUGCUGCUCAGCCAUGGAGGUCAAGUCAUCACUAUUGUCCAUAUCACAACGCCUCUGCCUUCUCUUGUUGUCCUCCCCCUUCCCUCUACCUUGCACCUUCUUGUUUUGCUGAUCCUAUUGUCAGUUUGUUGCAGCCAUUUAUGGGCACCUCUUUCAUCCAUUGUCCACUGUUGUUGCCCGCUGCCUCAGUUCUUCUCUGACCAAAGCGGUCGUAUCGCGCUGGUCGGUAGGAAGCCAUCGUCUCGCAAAAGCAUAGUCGUCGUCGCCAAACCACAUCUAGCCGAUGCCGAACCAUACUUUUGCCAUCUUGUUUGCCAACUUGCCGCUAUGGAAGCCUCCAUGCAUCGCUCAUCGAGUCUAUCCUAUCUCUAUCAGCUCCUGUGGUAUCCUGUUUUGUUUUUGCCUCAACCACGAAGCCAUAGGUUGCUGGUGCUAAAUUGCAGGGCCAGCAACAGGUAUUUCCUCUCCCUGGCCUUGCGGCCAUGCUAUGUAUUUUUCUCUCUCAAAAAAAAUUCCAAUGAUUUAAUCCUAAUGUUCCGAUCAUGUGUGAUUGGUUUAUUAAUUAAAGUUAGAGUUAUACUUUAAGUAUAUUAUAUAAAAAUAAUAUAUAUAUAUAUAUGUAUAUAUAAAAGUUACCAUGCAAAGUACAACUUCCAAUAAGGUGGAGAGGUUCGGAUGGAAUUUUGAUUCAACUUACUCUAUUCUAGAUAUUAGAGUUGUACUAGCAAAAUACCGCUACGGUAAAAAAAUCAAUUGGGUUUUUCAAACUAAUAAUAUUUUUUAUUUCCAUCACUAAAUUUUUAUUCCACUUAUUGGAUGUCCACACAUUUUAAUAGAAAACUAAAAAAUGUUUGACUAAUUAUUUCCUUCACUCAAAUACCCAUUAAAUUAAAAUAUUUUUUUAUUCAAGCAAGAGAGUUAAAUCAGCCUCCGAUGGCCACCGAUGGGGGCUCUUUAGUCCCGGUGGGUAAUAUCAACUGGGACUAAAGAACCCCUUUAGCCCCGGUUGUAAAAGCUAGUGGCCCUCGGGAUUCUGGUGGAGUGUUUUGUCCCGGUUGCAACUACCAACCAGGACUAAAGGAGACCUUUAGUUCCGAUUGGUGUUUCCAACCUGGACAAAACGCUCCCCGCCUCCACACACACAAUGCGCGUGUCCCACUUUCUCUCCUCCCUCUACUUAAUUCCAGUGCCUAUGCCUCCUCUCCUUAAUUCCAACACCCACAUGCCUCCUCUCCUCCUCCCUUCGGUCCCUACCUCCUCUCCUCCCUCUCUUCCUCCGCCGGAUCCGGCCGGCCCCCACUCCCUCUCCCCAAGCUCCUCCCUCUCCCUCGGCCGCGCAGGUCAGGCGGUGCGGCCGGGGCCGGGGCGGCGUGGGCGGUCGGGGCUCGGGAGGAUGACAGGUGGUUAUGAGGAUGAUACCUGCAGACAAUACUUUUAAUCCCUCAAUUCUUACCGAGAAUUGCACUAUGAACUGCGCUUUCAUUUAUGCUACACCGCUCAGCUAUAAAAAAGGUGCAAAUCGACCAAAAUAAAUGAAUAAACCACACGGUUUAGACUGGUGGCAUCUAUAUGUUUGAUGAGUUUUGAAUCCCAACAGACCUCUGUUUGCUUAUCCAACAGGAGGAAAAAACUUUACUUACUAAAUCAGCUUUGCAUGCCAGGCUGCAAUUGUUAGAGCAGGAUUGGGUAAUUUGUGAACAUAAUUGAAUCAAAGUUUUGUCUCAGACUAGUAAUAGAAAAUGGUAAUGCUCCAUAGCUAGAACACGUUCCUACACUAGUUUAAAAAAUUCCCUGAAAUUGGGAACAAUGGUCAAGCCCAAACCAAACUUGGAACUUGGAAGGCCGCUGGCCAAUGUCAAAGUCAAAAAACAGAAGCAGACAGCGACGUCUCACCAGAUCACGAAUCAGCCUUAGGAUUAAUACGCUCUGUCUGGCAAUGCGGCAAUGCGCGUAGCUCCCCUGCUGACCAAGAAAAGCAAGCUCCGUCUGGCAGCAAGCUCUUCAAUACGCUCCAGCCCAGCUCUACCAUGGCAUUGGCAAUGCGCGUCGUGAGCUUGCUUCCUGCCACCAUCGCCGUGAUGAUCGCAGCAGCCUCCUGGGGAGCGCACGGCGGUGCCAGCGACGAGGCCAGCGCGCUGCUUGCUUUCAAGGCUGAGCUCGCCGGCAGCGGCUCCGGCAUGCUUGCAUCCUGGAAUGGCACCGCUGGCGUCUGCGGCUGGGAGGGCGUGGCGUGCACCGGCGGCCAGGUGGUGGCACUGAGCCUGCCCUCCUAUGGGCUCGCCGGAGCCCUCUCCCCGGCCAUUGGGAACCUCACUUUCCUGCGGACCCUGAACCUGAGUUCCAACUGGUUCCAGGGGGAGGUCCCAGCAAGCAUCGGCCGCCUAGCGCGUCUGCAGACGCUUGAUCUGAGCUACAAUGCGUUCUCUGGUACGCUUCCUUCCAACCUCAGUUCCUGUGUCAGCUUACUGCUGUUGAGGCUCAGCAGUAACCGGUUCCAUGGGCGUAUCCCUGUUGAGCUUGGAGACAAGCUAACAAGUCUUCAGAAGUUCUCACUGGGCAACAACAGCUUGACGGGUGCCAUACCAGGAUCACUAGGUAACCUGUCAUCCCUGAACUACCUUGAUCUGACAGAAAACCACCUCGAGGGUCCGAUCCCACAUGAACUUGGCAGCAUGGGCGGCCUGAAGGUCCUUUUACUCUAUGAGAACAGACUCUCCGGUGUGCUUCCACACUCCCUGUACAAUCUGUCCUCACUGAAAAAGUUGGAUGUAGGAAACAACACGCUGUCUGGAACCAUCCCUGCUGAUAUCGGCGAUAGGUUCGCCGGUAUGGAAGUUCUUGACUUUAGUAGCAACCGAUUAAGUGGAGCUAUCCCACCUUCGCUCGGCAACCUCUCUGCUCUCACAAAACUAAACCUUCCAGGAAAUGAUUUUAUUGGAUAUGUGCCUUCUGCUUUGGGGAAGUUGCAAAGUCUUACUGACCUGUUCUUGACUGACAACAGGCUAGAAGCAAACGACAGUCAAGGGUGGGAAUUCAUCACUUCACUGGCAAACUGCUCCCAGCUUCAGUAUCUUGUUCUCGGCAACAACUCUUUCAGCGGGCAACUGCCUAAUUCAGUCGCAAACCUGUCAUCAACUCUGCAACGUCUUUAUUUGGGAGACAAUAUGAUUUCUGGGAAUAUUCCAAUAAACAUCGGAAAUUUGGUUGGUCUUACAGUACUUGAGAUGGCAAAUACUUUAGUAUCUGGACAGAUUCCAGAGAGCAUUGGUCAGCUAAGAAACUUGGGUGUGUUAGGCCUUUACAACACUAGCUUGUCAGGCCUCAUACCUUCAUCACUAGGAAAUCUUACACAGUUGAAUAAUCUUUAUUUAUACUAUGGAAACUUAGAGGGGCCAAUUCCAUAAAACUUGGGGAACUUAAAGAAUGUGUUUGCCUUUGAUCUCUCAACAAAUCGACUCAAUGGUUCAAUUCCUAUAGAGGUUUUAAAACUUCCUCGACUUUCCUGGUACUUAGACUUAUCAUAUAAUUCAUUAUCCGGACCACUUCCAACUGAGGCUGGUACCAUGGUGAAUCUUAACGAACUGAUUCUGUCUGGAAACAAGUUGUCAGGCACCAUACCAGCUAGUGUUGGGAACUGUAUAUCGUUGGUAAAGCUGCUGCUCGAUAACAACUUAUUAGAAGGAAGCAUACCUCAAUCUCUGAAGAACUUAAAAGGUCUUGCAUUACUGAACCUAACAAUGAAUAAGCUAUCUGGUAGUAUUCCUGAUGCCCUUGCUAGCAUUGGCAACCUGCAACAACUGUAUCUUGCACACAACAACUUGUCAGGUUCCAUCCCCAAAGUUCUACAGAAUUUGACAUUGUUGGCAAAACUGGAUUUGUCCUUCAAUGAUCUGCAAGGCGAAGUGCCCAAAGGGGGUCCUUUUGCAAAUGCAAUUCGCUUGUCAAUUGAUGGAAAUGAUAAGCUUUGUGGCGGAAACCCUCAACUUCAUUUAGCUCCGUGCUCCACAGCUGCUGCGGGGAAGAAUAGAAGGCGAAUGUCAAGAUCACUUAUGGUCACCGUAGCGUCAAUCUGUGCAUUUCUAUUCUUAGGUUUAGUAGUUUGUCUUAUCCAUUUGAUCCACAAGAGGCUCAGACAAGGAAAGAAAAAUCAAGUCAUUCCCACAGCAAUUGAUGAACAGCACGAAAGGGUUUCAUAUCAAGCAUUAGCAAAUGGAACUGACCAUUUUUCGGAGGUUAAUCUGCUUGGACAAGGAAGCUAUGGUGCAGUUUAUAAGUGCACUUUACAUGACAAGGGAAUUACCGCAGCUGUAAAGGUAUUCAACGUCUGGCAAUCUGGGUCUACUAGAAGUUUUGUGGCUGAAUGUGAGGCACUGCGAAGGGUGCGCCACCGAUGUCUCAUAAAGAUCAUCACCUGUUGCUUAAGCAUUGAUCACCAAGGCCAAGAAUUCAAGGCACUGGUUUUUGAGUUCAUGCCCAAUGGUAACCUAAAUGAUUGGCUGCAUCCAGCAUCCAAAAUACAGAGUCUGAGCAAUACACUCAGCUUAGCUCAGAGACUAGACAUUGCGGUAGAUAUCAUGGAUGCUCUGGAUUAUCUUCACAAUCAGUGUCAACCGCCUAUUAUCCAUUGUGAUCUCAAACCAAGUAACAUCCUCCUUGCCGAAGAUAUGAGUGCUCGGGUUGGAGAUUUCGGCAUAUCAAAAAUCCUUCCUGACGACACUAGCAAAACUCUGCUGAAUUCAGUUAGCUUCACUGGACUAAGAGGUUCCAUUGGAUACGUCGCUCCAGGUAACAGAAACUAACACUGAUAUUGCUAUGUUCAGUUUUUAACUUCCAUUUUGCCAAGUCCAGUUAUCUCGGCAUGAAUCGUUCGUAAGUAGCUUGCCAUGAAUCCACUGACCAAAUAGUUUCUGAAAUCUGAAUUGACUGCAGAGUACGGCGAGGGUCGCGCCGUCUCAACUCUUGGAGAUGUUUACAGCCUCGGCAUACUGUUGCUUGAGAUGUUCACCGGGAUGAGCCCUACUGACGACAUGUUCAAAGGCUCCUUGGACCUUCAUAAGUUCGCCGAGGCCGCUCUCCCCGACAGAGCCUUGAAGGUAGCCGACCCGGCAAUCUGGCUUCAUGAAGAAGCAAAGGGGGAAGACCCGGCCACGGUGAGAAGCAGAAGCGAGAGGUGCUUGGCUUCAGUGGUCGGGCUUGGCGUGUCCUGCUCAAAGCAGCUGCCAAGGGAGCGGACGGCGAUGCGGGAUGCUGCCGCUGAGAUGCGUGCGAUCAGAGAUGCCUUCCUGGUUCAAUGUGCAACAGAGACUUGGCCUGCAGUCGGCACCAGCGGCCUUGGAAGCACAGACACUUGAAUGGUGGACGGAGCUACGGUCUCUUGACGCACCAAGGAGCCACCGGACUAGCUGCUCUGCAACUAACAGAGUGGAGAAAGCGCCACUUAAU